rnacentral:lncRNA from 1 species
UGACCCCUUCUACAUGGAGUUGUUUGAGGACAUGCAGCACAAAAAUUACCAUCCUUUCUUGAUAACUCCGAGGGAGCACAGCAACAUAUCAGAAAGCCCUGAUGAAUGGCCACAGUCUCUAUUUAAUAGACCUCGCAAAAGCUCACAAGGACCUCUUCCCAAAAAGCCUAAACUGGAUGCUGCUUAAAGUAGCACAUGCCCAGGGCUGAUGAUACUCUGGUUAUUAUGAUGUUGGAUCUUGCUUGCUUCACAAGAUCUAUUGUUGCAUCCUGAUAUUUAUAUCAAAAACUCUUGUUCUUAUUUUGGGUUUACGCUUUUGUUUAUUUUAAACUGCAAACUCUGUUGUGACAAAUUUUAUUGGCUACACUAUCCUUGCUGCUGGCCAAGGAGUUGAACAUGCAAGGAAAAGAUAGAUUUUUCUUUAAAGAGAAAGUGCUAAUGAUGAAAUUGGCUUGUGGCAAAGCAUAAUCAAGCAUCCAUUCCUUAUUCACAUUGUUCCAUCCCUUCACUCUUUUCUCCUUAGUCUAUAGGCUCUUCACUGACUUGAGAGCUUCUUUCUAAUAGUUCUCUAGAACAGAGGAGUUUCAAGCAUAACCAAGGAAGUCUGGCUCCAAUACAAUGGCAAGAUCAAGGAAAAGGUCAAUUGUCAAAAACUCACAAAAGGUAAUCAGAUACCUUCGUUUCAAGGUAGUUUCAAGCAAAGGUCAAGGAACUCCGGUAGUAGGACAAAUGCAAGGUCAUGAAAGUUAAGUGCCUUCAUCUCAAAAGAGUUACAACCAAGGCCAGGGGACACCAAAUCCAUGUACAAAGCCAAGGUCAAGGAAGUCAAACACCCUUCUACCAUAUUGGUUAUAGCCAAGUACAGGGGGCUCAUCUCAAGGAUCACCAAGCAGUUACUCCCAAGGAGGGAGCAGUACCCAAGGGCCAUCAGCUUUUCGAAGUUAAUUAUACCACAUUUAUUAACUUUAUUUUGCUAACAAAAGUUUGUGUGAUGUAAUUAAUACCUAAAUUUAUAUUUUCGCGACAAUAUGCCAAUCAAAUAUAUAACUGACGAUUAAAACCAUUUAAUAGAAAAAUAAAUCCAAAUUCUAUUUUGAAAAUAUAAUAAUUAGAUUUUAAAGUAAUUCCAAGUCAAUACUCCCAAAAAAAAACUAAUAUUUUCACGAAAAUACGGCAAUCAAACAUAUAACUUUUUAUGGGUAAAUUUGUGAAGUUUUAUUAUCAAUGUAUAAUUCAUAAUUUAAAUAAAUUAGUUACAAAAAGAAGUCAAAAUUAUAUUUGGAAAAUACAAAUUGCUUAGAUUGUAAAGUUAUUUAUCUUCUAUACUAUUAUUUAUGAAGUGAAUUUGAUUACUUGUCAUAUUUUCCAUGAUUGUAUAUAUACUUUUCAUGAACUUUAGAAAAUUUAACUAAUAAAUCGAUAUUAACAAUUGAUAUUAAUCAUAUCUACUGAUAGUAUCAUAAUUACGUUUAUCUUAAAUUUAGUUUAUGUAAUGACUACUAUUAUUGUCAGUUUCUUUGAUUCUUAUUGAAAAUAUGAUCCAAAUAAUUAUUGCAAUAUUAAAGUAAGAUUAAAGAUAAAGCAUUAUGAAAAUAUGUCGCAAAAUAUAAAUUAUAUACUUAUGGCAAAUACCAUGUAUAUAAUAGGACAAUUCUCUCAAAUAGACAUUUUUAAGUUUAAACUAACCAUAAAUACAUUAUUAAUAUUUUUCAUUAUUUCCUUAAAUAAAAUUACGGAAUUUUCUAAUGUGGCUAAAGUAUAUAUGACAAUUAAUGAUUUUGAAUAAUAAAGAUUUGAUAAAAAUAAGUGUAUCUUAUAUUACAUUUUUUUUAAAUUUUAAACUAUUAAAAUAAAUUAAACAACCAUAUUAAUCAUUUAAUAAAGAUUUAGAUUUUUUCUGUAUAUGUUAUAUUUUGAAUUUUUUAAAACGAGUAUAAAUUACUAAAACUGUUAAAAGUCUCACAUUCAAGUUUUGUGAUCCAUGUUUUAAAAUUUUUGUUAUGACAUGGUACAAAUGAUUACAAAAUCAUAUAAAUCGAAAGUCUCAUUUAAUAAGUAUUAAAAUUAAAAGAUAUAUAAAUAUAUAUAUAUAUAUAUCAUUUAAAAUUAAACUAUAUGCCAUAUAAAAAUACAUAUAUAUUCUAAUUUUGAAAUAUACUUUGAACAAAAAAAAAUUGAUAAAAAAAUAUAUAUCAUUUUAUUUUUGUUUAAAUAUUAUAAAUUAUUUAAACUAUUAAUCCCACAAUGAAAUUUUAUUAUCAGUAAUCUAAAGUUUUUACAAUGACAGAUUCAAAUGAUCAAAAAAAAAUAUGAGCAGAAAGUAUCAUUUAAAUUUAAAAUAUACUAUGUAUAUGUUGCUAUCAUUUAAAUUUAAUUAUAUACCAUAUCAAAUAGACAAAAUACUUUUUUAGAUUAUAAAAUUUAUUUAUGUGUUCGUACCAAUUUAAUUAUAUAAGUAAUAAUUACUUAAUUUUUAAUUAUUAAAUAUAUAUUUAUUAUUUCAUAAUAUGUUAAAAAAUAUAAUACAAAAAAUAAUUUAUAUAUAUAAUAUUCAUCCCGCGCAAGGCGCAGAUCUUUAAUCUAGUAUUCAUAUAUUCAACAACACUACACACCAUCUUCUGUAACAAUCGUAUCAUCAAAUCUAUUUAUCUAUUCGCACCAACAAGAAUUUUAAAAGCAGCCAAACAAACAAAAAAACUUUUUAUUCUCGAGCAUUUCGUCACAUGAAAACUCAGUUUUCCCUUCAAGAGUUAGGCACAAAUGUCCCAAUCUGCCCAAACCCCGCGAUGAAGAAUGUGAUUGCUUGCGCGAAAAGGUAUAGAUAACAAUGAUUCUUCCCAAAUAACGCGUCAUAACAUCCGACAGAGAAUAUAUACAUUCCUACACCGAGUUCCACCACAUGAAUUGUUUUAGAAUGAAACAAAACUGCAAGAACUUUGCUUUGCUUAUAAAGAGGAGAAGUAUUUACCUAUCUCCAAAUGUAAAACGAAGCUUUUUUAGUCUUUAUUGCGGAAUUAGCUUUAAGAUCUCCAAGCUUCUCAGUAACAAUCCACUCGUUAACUCUUCAUCCUUCGUGUAAACCUUGCAUUUUAUUUGAUUUUUUUUUUUUCCUUUUUCCAGGGGAUAAAGCCUCGAGACGUAUCAGAAUGUUAAAUGACAUGUUUUUAUUGGCAAGGGACUCUCCUCAGUGCAGUAGUUAUGACGCUAGUUUGGUCCUGUUCGCAGAUCAGUUCAUAGGUGCCGGCUACUACACCGAUAUGCUUCGACGAUUGGAUGCCAUGAAUUACGGUCUUCUCUUAGUCACUCCGACUCUGGACAUCAACAAACCCGAAACCCCUCAAUGGCCCGGAUUGCUUAUGGAUAGAGGCGCAGCCAGUUUUGCUCUUGAAACUAGCAAAAUCUCUGAAGCCCAUGCCGCCGCAGAAGAAGAAGAAACACCUAAGAAGCUGGACACGCAUGGCAAACUUCUCUCGGAAACUGAGGACAUGAAGAAACCAGAAAGCUCUGAAUGUCCAGGACGGCAAAUAGAUGGAGGAUCAGGCUGGGGAAGCUCUGAAGAACCUUGUCCCAGAAAGCAUAAAGCCGGUGCGGCCGAAGAAACAUCUGAUGCGGCCGUAGGGGUUGGGACUAGCUAGCUUCUGUUGUCGUAGCCCGGUGGAUGUUUAUUUAAGUUUUUAUUUAUCAAAAUUUAAGUUCUUAUUUAUCAAAAUGUCUGCUAUAUUUAAGUUUGUACUUGUAUUUUGAACUUCAAACUCCGUUGUAGUAAUUUUAUGACUUCUCUUUUUAUUCUUGCAAUCUUUGGUUUUUCUUGUUGUUGUCUUCCUUCUGUUUAACCGCCAACAAACUCGGGCAUUGUUGUUUUUCUUCAAAUUCAUUUGCUACACCAUAAUCCCAGCAUCUUGUAAUCGGGGAAAGGAUUAUUCCCUUCUAAACCAUUUAUAUAACAUUAAUAAACAAAUAAACUAAAUAUAAGUACAUUGUAAAAAAAUUCACGUUAACUUAUAUAUCCAUUUUUUAUAAAUAAAUAAAUAUAUAUAUAUACAUAUAUUAAAAUUAAUUGUAAAUGUGCUUUAAAAUACAAAACUAAAGCAAUAUUAAUCAAAUAAAAAUUUAUUGAUAAUUAAUGUUUAAAUUUUUUUUUAGCAUUUAUUGGUUUAUUUAGGGUUUCCCCAAAAAAAAGGAAAAGAAUGCACACAGAUCCGUUCCGUUGAAAAUAUGUCAGCACCCUUGAUAUUUUCCUUUUUUAAAAAACAAAAAAUUGAGAUCCAAGAGAGAUAUAAAAACAUGCCCUCAUAGAUAUCUCAGCAAGCUGCAGCCUAGCUCUCUCAUCCGUCCGUGGAGAAAAGCAUUCAAAGCAAGAUCUAACCCCUAGCUAGAAGGAAGGUCUCUCCAAUUCUCAUCGUCAUCUCCGCAGAACCAUGGGCGAAGACGAUACCAUCGGUUUUGAGUCCUGUAAGAUCUCUCUCCAUCUAAAAUUGUUUUGUUAGAUUUCAUCUGAUUCGAUUAUAGGGGAAGUAAUGGUUUAUUUUUUCUAAUUUUUUCGUAAAUUCGUUUGUGUGUAGUGAAGCAGACGCUCGUGUACUGGAACAUGGAUGACUACCCAAUCCCUGUAGAUACUACCGAUGAGCUUGAUCCUGUUUUUGGUGAUAUCUUAAAAGCUCUUGAUGUAAUGGGCUUUCGUAAUGGGCAUAUAGACGUGUAUCUGUAUUCUGAGCAAAUCAACAGGGAGGAGGCUGUAGUCGACUGGACUUUACCCGAAAGUAAAUUCCUCACUCUCCUUUGCUCGUCAUCGUUUCUAUUUUAAAUUAUAUAUAUAUAUAUAUUGUAAUCGGACUUGUUUCUCUGUUGUUGUUUGUAGGCGAAUCUUACGGCGCUUGUGUUUACAAAGUGCCGGAUAUCACUUUGUAUAUGAUUCGUCACGCAUCGUGUAUUGGACCAGGACCAGUGAAUUUUUUUGUAAUUGCAAAACCAAAAAGGGAGUUACAUAGGGUUCUGCACUGUUUGCAAUCAAGGCGUCACAAUGUUCUUCUAGUAAAGCCGCCGCCUCCUGAUGAAGAAUUUCUCUUUAGUGUAGCCUCUCUACUUGAGAAUGCUCGAUUUUUAGGUGGAGGAAAGCCUAGAUUCAAAGAAUUAUAUGCUUCUUAUGCGCUUGAGUAUGAUAUGUGCUUUGAAGAGUAUGUAGACAUCCCAGAAGAUCUCUCCAGGACGGUAGAUUUCUCCGGUAAGACCCCAAAUUGUUUCUAGAUUUUUCUAUUUUUGAAAAUUUAUUAUAAAUGGUAUUUUAUUUAACCUCUCUUUAUUGCAUGUAUGUAUGGCUCAGAGCGUAUCCCAACCGUCAGAGGGCCUAGGACAGCCGUCUUCUGGGACGCCGUGGAUUGCCCUUUCCCUCCUUCUUCCACCCCUGAUGAGAUCUACCACUCUAUCUCAUCAGCUCUUGUUGAAAGGUAUCUUAGUGAUAAUAUUAGAGUGUUUCGAUAUCCAUUGCCAAAACCUCCAUCGAUCGUAAUAGCCCAAUGGGCCCCGUCAAAGGGCCUCGUAUCAUUAUUUGUUGUACAAAGAACCUACAAGCAGAUUAAUAUUUUGCUAGGUGUGAAUUUAUAAAAUUAAAAUUUAAAACAUAUAGUAUUGAUUUAAAUAAAUUUAUAUAUUUGAUCCAUUUUUUUUUAUAUCUAUACAAUUAUGUUUUCUUUGUAUUUAUUAUAUAAUUAGACCAUCUAUCUAUCUAUCUAUACUAAUAAAGUUGAGUUGAGUCGCAAUUUUAAAUUUUCAAGUUUUUUUUUUGCUUUAUUGCAUAACUAGCUUUUCAGGAAUAACAACUUAAUUAGAUUUUUCAUAGCCCUAAACUAAAUCUCUUUUCCUUCCACCAUGUUCUUCGUUUCUAGCCUACAUAACCAAUCCUUCCUCUUUCCUACCGCUUAAAAGCUUCCCUUUUAACGCCUAGGGGGGGGCUUAUUGAAUUGAUGAUUUGAGAAAAUUCUAGUUUUAUCCAAAUAUCUUCUCAUUGGCUGUAGGAUUUUUCAAAACUCUAUCAAAUUCACCCUUAUUGGACUAGCCAUUUAUAAAAACUCUUUAAAAUUUCCCCUUAUUGAAAAAUGAGGAUUUCACUAGUAAAAUCUCUCGUAGUUAUUUUGAGUUAUACCAAAAAAAUAUUUAAAGUUAAAAUUGAACAGAUACAAAUACCACCUUAUGAGUUGGUAUUUGAAGAAAUGUGAAAAAAAUAUCUACGUUCUCCCAUUUGAAACCCAAAACAGUGUCUCUCCUAAGGGAAUCAACUUUGACACUGGAGCGACACUCGCCUUCGUGACACUAGAUCCGAUGGAGAACGUGAGUUCAUGUUUUACCGGAACCCUAGCGCCCACAUGAUACUCCAUCCUGGUGAGCUUAACUUUGAUCUCAUCAGAUCUGCUAAGGUGUUCCACUAUGGAUCAAUAAGUCAACUUCAACUUGAAUGCUGUCAACGUAUAUGUUGACAUGCAAACCACCAAAUUUAGGGAUUUUGAGACUGCAAAAGGGCUUGUGGAGGAGAUCAAAAGCAUAGUAGGGGGUCUUCCACCUGCAGCAGAUGGUAGUAAGUACAUGACCAACAAGAUAACUUGUUAUCUCUCUACGGAUCCUUAUCUCCCUACGGAUCCUCACGAACGAGAAACUAGGAAUGUUCUAGAGAGGCUUCGAGUGAAAGUGAAGCGGUUUGCCUUAAGAAAGAUGUUUUGUAGAAAUUGUAGAGGUUCUCAGAUUACUCCUCCUCGUCCAGGUAAAAACAUUUAGUACCUAAUUUUUUUCUGUUUGUUUUUAUUUUUCUUGCAAAAAAAAAAAAAAAAAUCUAACCAUUUUAUUUGUUUGUGCUGUGUGAAGGAAAUCUACUACCUGGACAGAAACCACAACUUCUUGAGAUAGAAAUGGUAUGCGACCUCCUGUGGCACGUCUUAGACCUCGAAGAUCAUCGAUUUGAGCUGAAUAAGAAUUUGUAUGAGGCAAAAGAUGGGAAGGUACCAAAACCGUUCAGAGACACAGUGAUGCUGAUUACGGGUGACCAGUGGUUAACAAACGAGCUGGAGUCGGAUUGUCUAGAUGGAUUCACGCUUCUGAAGGACAUACCUGCUUGUUUGGAGCCAAUGCCAAUGUCUAUAUCGAAGAAUGAGUAUUGGAAGCGACGCCGAGAGCUAGAGGUAAAUAUUUGAUAUGUGUACUGUUUAGCUUUAUCUGUUUAGAGGCUUUUGGGUAGUUCAGUAUCACCGCACAUUACAUCGAUCAUUUUUUUUACUUAGCUUGCUUUAAUAUUAGCUCUCUGUUGAUACGUACCAGUUCUCUAAUGAGAUGUAUUCUUGCUUCUGCUUAUUAAUGCAGGGGCAGGUUUGAAGUCCUUCUAUGAUGGAUGGUGAAACUCAAGAUUAUUUGCUUUUUGUUUCUUUUUGUUGAAAUUUUCCUGGAUGGUUUUGCGCUUGAUAGAGCGGUGAAUCUGUGGAUUCUAUCAUUUCGUUUUGUCCUAUUUUGUCCUAUUCGACACUUGAUUUAGUUUUUUUUUUUUUUUAAUAAUGUCCCAGUUUUUAUAAUUUGUGGGAUUAUGAGAGCUUCUAAGUGUUUUAACCGUGAUGAAGCACACGAACAAAGUAAAAAGGAGUGAAGUAACCGUAAGUAUUUGAGAGAGAAGAUAAAUUUGAGAAUUUAAGAGAAUGAGAGGAUUUGUGAGAUUGAGAGAAUGAAAGAAAUGUUUGUAUUGAAUUGUGUGUUUAAUUGUGUAACAUACAUGGUGUAUUUAAAGGAAACAAAAGCAAUAAGCACUCAAUGAUGGAAGAAUAAAUAACUAGUAGUGGACUAGCCACUCCUCCCCAUUUGGUAAGUGAUAUGGCCACUCCUCCCACUUCCUCCACUAACUAGUAGUGGACUAGCCAUUCCUCCCCAUUUGGUAAGUGAUAUGGCCACUUCUCCCACUUCCUCCACUACUUCCCUUUGUUUAAUUCUUCAUGUCAACAUUCGACACUUGAUUUAGUUUUUUUUUUUUUUUAAUAAUGUCCCAGCUAGUCUUGAAGAUACCGUAACCAAGCUAAAUUAAAAAAAAAGGCAUCACAAAUCCUUUCCCUAGUAUAUUAAGUUUAAAAAAUAGAUAUAUACUAGAUUAAGAUCCGCGCCUUGCGCGGAAUAAACAUUAUAUAUAUAAAUUAUUUUAUGUAUUAUAUGUUCUUACAUAUUAUGAAAUAAUAAAUAUAUAUUGAAUAAUUAAAAGUCAGUAACUAUUACAUAUAUAAUUAAAUUGGUGCAAACGUAUAAAUCAAUUUUAUUAAUCCAAACAUUUUUUUUUAAAAAAAUUUGAUAGGAUAUGUAAUUAAAUUUAAAUGAUAUUAACAUACAUAGUAUAUUUUUAAUAUUAAUGUCUAUUUUUUUUUAAAUGAUGCUUUCUAUUCAUAUUUUUUUUAUCAUGUGUAUUUUUAAUAGUAAAAACUUUAAAUUACUGAUAACAAAAUUUUCAUUGUGGGAUUAAUAAUUUUAGUAAUUGAUAAUUUAAAAAAAUUCAUCAAUGUUAGUUCAAAACUUUUAUCAAAAAAAAUUAUUCAAAGUAAAUUUUGAAACUAAAAUAUUUAUUUAUUCAAUAUGGUUUAUAGUUUAAUUUAGAAUUAUAUAUAUACAUAUAUAUUUUAAAUCUUAAUGAUUAAUUAAAUUAGACUUUUACUUUUAUGAUUUUGUAAUCAUUUGUAUUUUGUCAUAACAAAAAUUUUAAACCAUGGAUCGCAAAAUUUAAAUGUGAGACUUUUAACAGUUUUAAUAAUUUAUAGUCAUUUUUUAAAAUUCAAAAUAUAAAAUAUACAGAAAAAUCUAAAUUUUUAUAAUAUGGUUAUUGCGUUUUUAAAAAAUUAUUUUAAUAGUUUUAAAUUAAACAAAUUUGAUAGAAGAUACAUUUUUUUAUCAGAUCUAUAUUAUUCAAAAUCAUUAAUUGUCGUAUAUACUUUACUCACAUUAGGCAAUUCCGUAAUCUUUAUUUAAGGAAAUAAUAAAUGACAUUAAUAAUGAAUUUAUGGUUAGUUUAAUAAAAAACUUAUUAUAUAAUUAGAUGGACCAACAUAUUUCUCUAAUAAUUCUAAGAAUCAUCCUAGUGGUGACAUGUGGCUACAAAAAGAUGUUGUAAUGUUUCACAAAUAAUAUAUAGGGGAUAUACUUCUAUCGAAAAUACAAUAUAUAACAUUAUUUUCGGUCUCAACUACUCUCGAUCGACAUUACAUGUGAUAUAAUGAAUCCAAUGGACAAGCAUUGUUUGGUUCUAUAUGUUAUUGUUCUCGACUAUAUUCGUAGUCUUCAAUCGAAAUGGUUCUAUAUGUUAUUGUUCUCGACUAUAUUCGUAGUCUUCCAUCGAAAAGCAUUGAUGUAUAUAGGCUCUGUCAAUUCCUUCAUAUAACUCAUUAAAAAAUUUGUUAUUUCAAUCCCACGGAAAUUUGGUUAAGUUUGUGGGGAUGUCUUGUUGAUAUAAGAAUACGGAUAUACUUAUUAUGGAAUACAAUUUUUAAUGGUCAGGAAGAAUUACGCUUAAAUGUCGAGUGGUUUUGAGACAUGCAUUAUUUGUUUUUCUUUUUCUAGUUAGGCCAUAGUCGGGUUGUUGUUCGUUUCGAUGUCACACGACUGAUCGCGCGACCAGUCGCGGGUUCCAAUUCAAGUCGCCCGAAAAAACAGCGACUAAAAAUUAAGAAAAUUUUGAUCGAACGAGUGGUCGCAGAUCGCAGGUCGCGCGACACGUAAACGAACAUAGUUUUAGUCGCAGGUCGCAGGUUUAGUCGCAGGUCGCAAGUCACGUAAACGAACAUAAUCUUAGUGGCAGGUUGGGUAAACGGCCUUACCUAUUCCUAUGAUAUGUCUUGUCUACUGUUGCGUGUCCAUGCCUUUAGAUAUGAAAACAUAAAUUUAUCUUUAUGAAAUUUUAUUUUACGAGAUGCGAUCUUUGUAGUAGCAUAUAUCAGGUAUAUAGAUGCAUCUGUUUACUACUAGAAUCAAGGUUCAGUACUAGAGAAAUAUAUAAGAAGUCUUACAAAAUGACUAAAUGAAAACAUAAUAAGAAUUGGUUAUAGCCUACUUUAAUUUGACUUUCAUCUUAUAAUUUGGUCGGUAUGCCCCAACCAAAUCUAUCCCUUUCAUUCUAAGCAUCGUGUGACAUAUAUAAUAGUUAAGUCAAGGUUUAUCUCUCAUAAAACUAACUCAAAAGAAUUAGCUAACCUCAUGAUUACCUUCUUCGUUGGAAAUUAAUUACUCACUCAUGAUUCUCUCCUUUAUUUAGCCUCAAACCAUAACUCUCCCACAGAUUCUGAUCUCCGUCUCCCAUGAAGAACGGGAAGCAGUUUGUAUUAGCGGCCAUUGCACCGCUCGGGUUUCCAGCGGCUGCGUUUACAUUUGAUGUUGAAGAACCCACAUUGCCUUGUUCAUUCAUCUGAUGACGCUGAUCAUUAUCAUUAUAUCCACUUUCUUGAUUGUUGUAGAUCGUAUUUUCUUCGGUUGUUGGAUAGUAAACGCCGCAGCUCGACGAAUUGUCCUUCCUUUUCUUGUUCAUUUUCUUCUUUCCAUUGCUUAUCCACUCCCAAUUUUCCUUGCAUAACAAGGCACUUUUCUGAUCGAACCCUAACUGAGCCAUUUUCCCUGCGACUUCCUCCCAUAAAGAAUCAUCCGAGCAUCCUCCCAAUAUCUCUUGAAACGCCGAGUCCAUACUAGUUCUUAUCUCCAUAAGCUUUGUGAUCUCUUGCUCAUUCCAGCAGCUACCACUUCCUUCAAUAGAAACAUUGUUAGUCAUUGUUUGGUCGCUUUCAUUCUCAUUCUGAUUCUCACUGUUCUUUUGGAUCUCAUUAUUACCAUUAAUCCUCUCCUCUGGGGAUGAACAUAACGGCUUUAUUAACGUCUUUCCGGUCAAAAACUGCAAAGCCUCAAUCACCGCCACAUCCCUAGCUUCCAUCCUCUCCCUCUCUUUAGACCAAAAAAAAGCUCUUUAUCGAUCCUCGCAGCCUCACUCUUUCUCCAUUCCUCUUCUUUCAUCAUCCUUCGUUCCUCUUUGUCUUCAAUAACCUUUGUCAACUUCUCAAGCCAAACAUCUUGACUUUCUAUCAACCUUUUCAUGUUCACAUCAAUGAACUCCUUUAUCUUAUUUUUCCAACUCCUCUUUUUCCUUCUUCUACUAGAAUCAUUCCCCUCAGAAGACGAAGUCACCAACUCCAGCUCGGAGGAAUUGUAGUUGUUAGAAAGGCUUAGGCUUUGACGAUGGAAACCAUGAACACUAUCAACGUUAUGGAUGUUAGACGUUGUUGUAGUAACGUCGUUCAUGGCGUUUUGAGUGUGGAAACCAUGAAGAGCAUUGCUCAUGAACUGUGUGUUAUGACUGGGACAAGGAACCAAGUUGUUGGAAUCACCGUAGAGCGCCUCGAGCUGCCGGAAAAAUCUAUAGUGUUUACCGUCUUGUCUUCCGGCUUUGCCUUCUCUAGUCUUCUUAUAGUAUUUGUAAAGGUUCUCAAACUUCUCUCUGCAUUUUUUCCCACUCCUUUGGUAUCCAUGUUCCUCAGACAUAAUCCUAAAUGUUAAAGCAAAAUAAGACUACAUGUACAAUACUUCAUGUUUCGAUUAAAAUUUAAAGCAGUACCCUAAUCUUGAAACUAGGUUUGAAUCAUGACUGUUCAUAAGAUAUUCAUAUAUUCAUCGUUUUCAUGCAUAAACGUAUACAGAAUAACAUUGUAUGGUCUAUUCGCUUAAGUUUAGAUAAUAACUUAAAAGUUUGUUUUUCUUACAUAACCAAGAUUAUUUUGGAGACUUACUAGUGGACUAAUAGUUUAGCACAAGAACGUGUUUCUAUGCAUAGUUACACAAAAGAAGAGGGUACAUAUCUCCAGAAGCUAAGAAAGAUGAAUCAGAAGUUAUCAGUAAAAAGGGAGAAAACUAAAAUCAAAGUCAAAGAUGAUAAUAGAACUCUUUAUUUUACUAUUUUCUAUGUUUAACCUUUUGGGGUCUUAAAGCACUUGCUAAUGUCUUAACUGAAACUGCCAAGGUCUGGUCAUUCUCUCGACCAAACCAAAACGACUCCUAGAGAAAUUGUUUUAAACUGACCACUCUGCAGAUACACAUUAAUAUGUGUGUGUGUAUAUUUACAUAUAUACGCGCGAAUGUAAUAUUUAUAUGUGUCCCUAUAUUGAUCAGCUCAAAAAGUAUGUUGAAAUUGAGGAGCCCAAGGGAAGUGUUGAGAUCACAUUCUUUCUAGUCAUUAAUGCAGAAAAAGGUUUAACUUGUCUUCGGGAUUAUCACUUGAAAGGUCUAAUUUUUAACAAGAAAGCGUAUGAAAGGUCAAAUCUUUUCAAAUCUGAAAAAAACUCCGGAAAACAAAAUGCUUAAAUUUUAUUAAUAGUUUUUUGAAGAUGUAGCUGUUUAGUGUUUAGAAAUGAAUGUUUUCUUCCAUUGGAAAUUUAUUAAUUUUCGCCUAAUUGACUAACUUUUUUAAAUAGGAUACAGUGUCGUCGAUGAAUCAAAAGACUCUUAUGGUAUGAAUUGGUUUGAGAAAUGUGCUUAAUAUUUUUUAAUAUUUUUAUGAAAAAUAGCGGAAAAUAAAAAGAGAGAGAGAGAUUAGGGUGAAGUGAAGCAAACCUAGAAACUUCAUCCCAUAGAGGUCCCUUUUGAUUAGCUUCUUUGAACUUAUGAUCAAGACGAGAUCUAAUCUCCAGCAGAGUUAGGGUUUCUUGUCUCGGCCAUCUCCCCGUUCCUCCACCAUCUCCUCCGCCGCCGCCGCCGAUACCUCCUCCGCCACCGCCUCCCCGCCAAACCCAACUGCUCCACCACUGCUGCUAGCGUUUAAGUUACUGUUAUUUCCAGCCGUCGAAGAACUCCCACCCAGUCCAUGUAUGCCACGUGGUAAGAAACCCAUCUCCUGAUCUGUAGUGAACUGAUGUAGCCGGUGGUGUUGCGGCGGCGGAGGGGGCGCAGCCGGAGCUAGGUUGAAGCCAAAGAAGUCGGAGGGAAAAUGAGAAGAGGUCGACGGUGAUUCCGUCGUAGUCGCCCUCCCCCCGCCUUGCAUGAGCUGCCGGAGCUCCGGUACACCAUACUGAGGAUGAUGAUCGUCCAUUUUUAGAUUUAUACUCAGCUGAAAGAGAAGGAAAAAGUAAAGGCUCUACCCUUUUAAUUCCAAAGAAAGAAAGAAAAGAUUGAAGCUUUUUUGAGAGAGAGAGAGACUGAUCGUGUAGUUCACGAAAAAGGUCGAAUGUAAGCUACAGAUAUGGUCCCCUGACUUAAUAACAUUUUUUUUAUUUUUCUUCUUGUAUGAGUGUGGGCGAGAGAGGGAAGAAACCGAUGUAUGGUAUGGUCUAUGGAUACUACAUACAGAUCUUUUUGUAUGUAUACUGUAUGUUUUAAGUUUUUGUACCAUGUCCAUGUGUCUUAGUUCUCAUUAUCUCCUAUCAAAUAAUUUGAAUACAUGCAUUGAUGCAUAUAUAUUCAUUUCAAUGCAAGGUUAGAUACAAUAAUACAUCGAGCCAUCGAGGCAUUCUUCUUUAAAUCUUGGCUGUAGAAUUGGUUUUUAAAUAAUGAUCUGAAGACAGUUUUCCAUUUCCUCUGUAGAUUUUUUACUACCGAGUUUCAUUAGUAUUUUGGAUUUUUGUAUGAGGAUAGUUUUAAGGCAAUUUGCACAUGUGACUCCAUAAUUGACACAACCUUUUUGGAAAACAAAGGGUUGCCUAUAAAAUUAUUCCCUUGAAUUAUUAGGUAACAUCAUUAUUUUGGCUGCAGUCUCGGAUAUUUUUCCCAUUUAUUAAAGUAUGAUUUACUUUGUGAGCCCCUGAAUAAGUAGAUACUUGCACAUUUCUAUAUCCCUACUUCUAAGAGCAAGAAAUGACUCUAAAAUCAUUAAUAAUUAUGGAUAUAUAUAUCCUAAAAACCAAACAGUUUUUUCACAUUAGAUAUUGUCAUGUUUAAUAAUUCGUGUACCUUUUUUUUGCUUUUAAAUCUGUCAUUCAGCUUUUAAAAUCUUCGUAUUUCAUAAAAAAAGGUUUCCUCUGCACUGAGAACUUUAUAAGAAAAUUUUCGAGAGACAUGUUUGUGAAGUUAUUUGAAAAUCAAAUUAAAUUAAUUGGCCGCAAUAAGAGGGGGUCCUCUGCAAAAUUACCAAAUUAUUGGCUUUUAUGCUCCCCAACAUUUCAAUCUGUCUAAUCCCUAACCAUUUGGCUUUAUUGUUCCCUUUUCACACUUUUAUUGCUUCAAUCCUAAUGUUCACUGAGUUUUUAAUCCUUAUUUCGAUAUUCAUUUCAUGGAACUACACAUUCAAAUUCGUAUUUAGAAUGAUAUCAUUAUUAGAUUUAUCAUGAUUUUUUACCGCUUUCAUUUGAAAAUCAAACAAAUAUCAGAACUGAACCCUUUUUUGGACAAAAAAAAUAUCAGAAUUGAACUAUCUAUAUAAUUCACCUCGUUGUAGCUAUAGUGAUGCUCAGCAUAUAAGUUUAUUUACCUGAUUAAUUAUUAAUUUAAAGUUUCGUAUAAAAUAACUAUUGAUUGUAUGUAAAAUACUGCUAUCGGAAUUCUGAAUUUGCGAAACUCCACCGUAAUUUUUUUCACAUGUCAUGAACCAAUGAAUCAGAAAUAUUCGUUUGUAAAGAAAAAUUAGUGGAACUAACAGUAACAUUUUCGGGAGUUUUGGUUUGAUCCUUAAGAGGAAGGAUCUACAAAAACAUCAAAACCGAUGGAAGAAAUCGCUAAAUAAGAGACGUUUUGGUUUGGUCUUUAUACUGUUCGCGGACUCUAGUAAUACGUAACGGUUCGCGAUUGAUUCGUUUUUAAUUUUUUUUAAUCAGACAAAAAAAGAAAUUAAGGACCCUACCAAUAAUAUUGCUCUAAUGAAGAUUGCGAGAAAAAAAAAGAUUUUAUUGUAUUUAGUGAUGAGAGCUGAGUACACGUGCCACAUUUGUAACCGUAUGUUAUAAGACCCUCUCCCAUCAACAGUAUCCUCAUUAGGCACACCAAAACGAUGCCGUCGAUUUUCUAUAACUUGUUUUAGGGUUCUUUUCGAGCUUUCUUUGGUUUAUUUUCUUUUCUUCGUUUCUUAAUUUAUUUAAAUAAGAAAUAAAUAAAUAUAUGCUUCUCUCUUCCAUGGAUUGCAGACAAAUAACAAGGUUUUAGGUUUGUCACCUACCUAUUUAUUGUUUCUGUUUUUUUUUGUGAACUACCUAUUUAUUGUUUCUUCACCGCCAAAUUAAUUGACACCUUAUCUUCUUCUUUUCCAUCUCCUUUGAUUUUAUCAAAUAUUGUAAGGAGGUCAAUUCUUUGAAUUAUACUUCAUUCACCUCGUUUUUCUUAUAACAAAACCAACUUCGAUACUUUGAAUGAUAAAUUUCAAAAUUCAGUUUAGACUAGUAUAGGAAAUAUCAAAAAUAUAUAUAAGAAACAUUUUUUUCUAGUAAUUUCUUCAUGUCCUUUGUAUUUCCCAAUAGAUCGCAAUAUAAUCACAUUCAAAUUGUAUUAAUUGGAUUUCGAUACUGACACAACUAUAACUAUAUUUUAGUUGACAUAAUUCUAGAUUAGGAAAUUGAAAAAUCUAACAAUCUCUCUAUAUAUACUCCUUCAAUUCCUAAAAAUCCAUAUUUUAGAAUUCUUACACUUUUUAAUAAAACAUAUUAAAACUUAGCUAUAAAUGCAUAGUUUUCUGUAAUUUUAUAUUCUUAAAUUUUUAAACUAAUAAAAUUUUAAGAAAUGCAAUUAAUGUUUUUGAACUUCACAACUUUUCAUUAUUAGUGGACAAAAAUUAUAUUGAAAAUAUAAAAUAUGUACUUCCUCUGUUUCUAAAUAUAAGAUGUUUAGAUAGAAAAACACAUUUUAAGAAAACUACUUUUUGUUUUGUCCAAAAAAAAAAUUUGUCCAAAAAAAAAAAGAAGAAAACUAUUUUUUGUCUACUAAAUAUAAUUAAAACUAUAAAUUAAUAGUAUUCAACCAAUUACAAAAUAUAUUAUUAAAAUAUAAUUAGUUACAUAGUUUUUAACAAAGUAAAAGUUAUUUAAAAAAAUGAAAACAUCUUAUAUAUUAGAACAUCAAAAUUUUGUAAAAUAUUCUAUAUUUAAAAACAAAUGGAGUAUGUUUUUGAAAUAAUUUUUUUUAUGAAUCUUUUAGAAACGGAUGAAAGAAUUAAAUAUUCUAGUAUUUGUUAGUAGGUGCCCUGAAGGUGGCCUCUAGUUUCCACGUCGGGUAGAGGCGAAGGAGCAUGCAUUUGUGCGAAAGUGAAUUUUUCUUUUUUUUUGAAACUAACGAAAGUGAAAUUAAAAGAUUAAAAUAUCAACUAUACUACUACUAAGAUGGGUCAAUGUUCCACAUGCAAACAAUAAUUCUCAAAAUAACAAUAAUAUAUAUGCGGUAGGGCCUUUAUUCAUUCGUACAUCACCAAUGUAUUCGUACAUUGAUUAUAAAUUCGUACUUUAUGGUUAAUAAGACGUAUAUAAUUCAUAUGAGGGUACACUUUUUAACGAAGAAAUUACUUAAAACGAGUUUCAUUAGUGAGAUAACACAUCCAAAAAUAUGGCUUACUUAAGAUAAACACUGAGUUACUAUUUCCUAGAUUUACAACAUUAGUCAUCGGUGACCCUUUCGAUAUGAAAAUGUCAUGAUUCUCGUUAAAGCAAACUUUGGUUUUUAUUGAAAAAAGGGAAAGUGGCCUCAACCAUGAUCUGUUUUAUAUAAUAUAUUUUUGUUCUAUCAGUGAAGAUCUCUCUCUUUAAUUUGCUAAUAACGAGAUCUAUUUUUCCACUGUUGUGUAUGAAUCAGAAUAUAAUAUUCCUCAGCAAUCAUACCGUUCAAAAAUUAAAACUGAAAGACAUUCUUGAUCGCAAAGUUGGGGACCACGGUACCAAAAUCACGAAUAAAAGUUUACUUAAGAAUAUUUGACAUAAGAUAGCUAGAUGCCGACAAAUUCAUAAUGAUCACUUUGGAUUUGUUUUAAAAGAAAUUAAUAAGUGAAGAAGUAAUUAUUUCUUAGAAAGGAGUCAAUGACAAACAAAAGCAACAUAUACAUAGAUUUUUGAAAAAAAUUCAAAAAAUUUGAUAAUAUUAUUUUAAUUUAUAAUUGCAUCAUUCACUAAAAUAUGAUGAUGUUCAAAAAAGUUUAGAAUCUUUGUUGUUCCUGUUUUUAAAGAAAAUAACGAUUCUACAGUAGUUAUUCCACCUAUUUAAGGAGUAUUAUGAAGUUAUACUAAAUAAAUUGAUAAACAAAAUUAUAACGAUUCUCAUAUACCAUGAAAAAGAGUUUUACAUACAUUAAUACAAAUGUAUAAUGUGGUUAGAAAUUUUAAAACAACACUAAAAAGUUUCGGCUUCACUAUAUAGAGCGUUUAACGUAAAACUCAAUAUUUCGUAUGAGUUUAUUCAUAGAUUUUAAAAAAUUAAAAAUACUACAAUAUUGUUUUAAUGCAUAGUUGCAUCCUAAACUAACAUAUGAUGAUGAUCAAAAAUCCUUGAAACCUUUGUUAUCUAUGUUUCUCUAGAAAAUAACGAUUCUAUAAUGGUUAGUCCACUAAUUUAGGGAUUACAUGAAGUUUUACAAAAUUAAUUGAUAUAAAAUUAGAAAGAUGUCCAUGUACGAUGAAAAAAGAGUUUAAAUAACAUUGAUACAAAUUUAGAAUGUGGUUACAAAUUCUCAAAUAACCCUAAAGAUUAUAGGCUUCAGUAUAUAAAGCAUUUACCAAAAACUCAAUAUUUUCGUAGGGGUUAAUACAUAGAUUUUGAGAAAAAUUUCAAAAAAUUUAAUAAAAUAUUUAUAAUGCAUAGUUGUUGUCUCUGUUUUUCAAGAAAAAUGAUGAUUCUAAAGUGGUUAUUCCACCUAUUUAGGGAGUAUUAUGAAGUUUUACUAAAUAAAUUGAUAAAAAAUUAUAACAAUUCUCAUAUACCAUGAAAGAGGGUUUAACAUACGUUAAUACAAAUUUAUACUGUGUUUUGAAUUUAUAAAACAACACUAAAAAUUUUAGGUUUCAGUAUAUAGAUCGUUUAACGUAAAACUUAAUAUUUCGUAUGGCUUUAUAUAUAGAUUAUGAAAAAAAUUCAAAAUAUAAAAAUAUUAUUUUAAUGCAUAGUUGCAUCCUAAACUAACAUAUGAUUAUGGUCAAAGAGACUUGUAACCUUUGUUGUCUAUGUUUCUCUAGAAAAUAACGAUUUUAUAAUGGUUAGUCCACUAAUUUAGGGAUUACAUUAAGUUUUACAAAAUUAAUUGAUAUAAAAUUAGAAAUAUGUCCAUGUACAAUGAAAGAGAGUUUAAAUAACAUUGAUACAAAUUUAGAAUGUGGCUACAAAUUUUAAAAUAACCCUAAAGAUUAUAGGCUUCAGUAUAUAAAACAUUUACCAAAAACUCAAUAUUUUCGUAGUGGACAUAUAGAUUUUGGGAAAAUUUCAAAAAAAUUGACAAUAUUGUUUUAAUGCAUAGUUGCAUCUUUCACUAACAUAUAAUGAUGUUCAAAGAGGUUUGGAGCCUUUGUUGUCUCUGUUUUCCAAGAAAAUGGCGAUUCUACAGUGGUUAUUCCACCUAUUUAGGGAAUAUUAUGAAAAAAAAUCAAAAAUAUAACAAUUUUUUAAUGCAUAGUUGCAUCCUAAACUAACAUAUGAUGAUGGUAAAAGAGGCUUGGAAAAUUUGUUGUCUAUGUUUCUCUAGAAAAUAACGAUUUUAUAAUGGUUAGUCCACUAAUUUAGGGAAUAUUAUGAAAAAAAAAUCAAAAAUAUAACAAUUUUUUAAUGCAUAGUUGCAUCCUAAACUAACAUAUGAUGAUGGUAAAAGAGGCUUGGAAAAUUUGUUGUCUAUGUUUCUCUAGAAAAUAACGAUUUUAUAAUGGUUAGUCCACUAAUUUAGGGAUUACAUGAAGUUUUAAAAAAUUAAUUGAUAUAAAAUUAAAAANNNNNNNNNNNNNNNNNNNNNNNNNNNNNNNNNNNNNNNNNNNNNNNNNNNNNNNNNNNNNNNNNNNNNNNNNNNNNNNNNNNNNNNNNNNNNNNNNNNNNNNNNNNNNNNNNNNNNNNNNNNNNNNNNNNNNNNNNNNNNNNNNNNNNNNNNNNNNNNNNNNNNNNNNNNNNNNNNNNNNNNNNNNNNNNNNNNNNNNNNNNNNNNNNNNNNNNNNNNNNNNNNNNNNNNNNNNNNNNNNNNNNNNNNNNNNNNNNNNNNNNNNNNNNNNNNNNNNNNNNNNNNNNNNNNNNNNNNNNNNNNNNNNNNNNNNNNNNNNNNNNNNNNNNNNNNNNNNNNNNNNNNNNNNNNNNNNNNNNNNNNNNNNNNNNNNNNNNNNNNNNNNNNNNNNNNNNNNNNNNNNNNNNNNNNNNNNNNNNNNNNNNNNNNNNNNNNNNNNNNNNNNNNNNNNNNNNNNNNNNNNNNNNNNNNNNNNNNNNNNNNNNNNNNNNNNNNNNNNNNNNNNNNNNNNNNNNNNNNNNNNNNNNNNNNNNNNNNNNNNNNNNNNNNNNNNNNNNNNNNNNNNNNNNNNNNNNNNNNNNNNNNNNNNNNNNNNNNNNNNNNNNNNNNNNNNNNNNNNNNNNNNNNNNNNNNNNNNNNNNNNNNNNNNNNNNNNNNNNNNNNNNNNNNNNNNNNNNNNNNNNNNNNNNNNNNNNNNNNNNNNNNNNNNNNNNNNNNNNNNNNNNNNNNNNNNNNNNNNNNNNNNNNNNNNNNNNNNNNNNNNNNNNNNNNNNNNNNNNNNNNNNNNNNNNNNNNNNNNNNNNNNNNNNNNNNNNNNNNNNNNNNNNNNNNNNNNNNNNNNNNNNNNNNNNNNNNNNNNNNNNNNNNNNNNNNNNNNNNNNNNNNNNNNNNNNNNNNNNNNNNNNNNNNNNNNNNNNNNNNNNNNNNNNNNNNNNNNNNNNNNNNNNNNNNNNNNNNNNNNNNNNNNNNNNNNNNNNNNNNNNNNNNNNNNNNNNNNNNNNNNNNNNNNNNNNNNNNNNNNNNNNNNNNNNNNNNNNNNNNNNNNNNNNNNNNNNNNNNNNNNNNNNNNNNNNNNNNNNNNNNNNNNNNNNNNNNNNNNNNNNNNNNNNNNNNNNNNNNNNNNNNNNNNNNNNNNNNNNNNNNNNNNNNNNNNNNNNNNNNNNNNNNNNNNNNNNNNNNNNNNNNNNNNNNNNNNNNNNNNNNNNNNNNNNNNNNNNNNNNNNNNNNNNNNNNNNNNNNNNNNNNNNNNNNNNNNNNNNNNNNNNNNNNNNNNNNNNNNNNNNNNNNNNNNNNNNNNNNNNNNNNNNNNNNNNNNNNNNNNNNNNNNNNNNNNNNNNNNNNNNNNNNNNNNNNNNNNNNNNNNNNNNNNNNNNNNNNNNNNNNNNNNNNNNNNNNNNNNNNNNNNNNNNNNNNNNNNNNNNNNNNNNNNNNNNNNNNNNNNNNNNNNNNNNNNNNNNNNNNNNNNNNNNNNNNNNNNNAAGAACACUGAGGUGAUAGGAUACUGUGAUGCAGAUUGGGCUGGAGAUAGAGUAGACAGAAGGUCAACCACCGGUUAUUGUACAUUCAUUGGAGGGAAUCUUGUCACUUGGAAGAGCAAGAAACAGAAAGUAGUAUCUUGUUCAAGCGCAGAAGCAGAGUACAGAUCAAUGAGGAAGCUAACCAGUGAGCUUAUCUGGAUAAAGGGGCUUUUAGGCGACUUGGGAAUUGAGAUCACCUCUCCCAUGACCAUGCACUGUGACAACCAAGCCGCAAUACACAUUGCAUCCAACUCAGUCUUUCAUGAAAGGACAAAGCACAUAGAAGUAGACUGCCACAAGGUCAGACAAGCAGUGGAGCAGCAAGUGAUUCUCCCAUGUUAUACAAGAAGUGCGGAUCAGCUGGCUGACAUCUUCACCAAGGCGGCCAGUAGCAAAGUUUGUGAGUCCAUUCUUCCAAGACUUGGACUCAUAAACCUUCCAUGUCAAUGAUCUCCUCACCGUGGAGUAUUCUACUCUUUUUCCUUUGCUUGGUUUUUAUCCCAAGUGGUUUUUCCAAGAAAAGGUUUUAAUGAGGGAAUACUUCAUGGCUUUCCAAGCUUGACACUCACUACUGUCAAGCUUGAGGGGGAGUGUUGACAUGAAGAAUUAAACAAAGGGAAGUAGUGGAGGAAGUGGGAGAAGUGGCCAUAUCACUUACCAAAUGGGGAGGAAUGGCUAGUCCACUACUAGUUAGUGGAGGAAGUGGGAGGAGUGGCCAUAUCACUUACCAAAUGGGGAGGAGUGGCUAGUCCACUACUAGUUAUUUAUUCUUCCACCAUUGAGUGCUUAUUGCUUUUGUUUCCUUUAAAUACACCAUGUAUGUUACACAAUUAAACACACAAUUCAAUACAAACAUUUCUUUCAUUCUCUCAAUCUCACAAAUCCUCUCAUUCUCUUAAAUUCUCAAAUUUCUCUUCUCUCUCAAAUACUUACGGUUACUUCACUCCUUUUUACUUUGUUCGUGUGCUUCAUCACGGUUAAAACACUUAGAAGCUCUCAUAAUCCCACAAAUUAUAAAAACUGGGACAUUAUUAAAAAAAAAAAAAAACUAAAUCAAGUGUCGAAUAGGACAAAAUAGGACAAAACGAAAUGAUAGAAUCCACAGAUUCACCGCUCUAUCAAGCGCAAAACCAUCCAGGAAAAUUUCAACAAAAAGAAACAAAAAGCAAAUAAUCUUGAGUUUCACCAUCCAUCAUAGAAGGACUUCAAACCUGCCCCUGCAUUAAUAAGCAGAAGCAAGAAUACAUCUCAUUAGAGAACUGGUACGUAUCAACAGAGAGCUAAUAUUAAAGCAAGCUAAGUAAAAAAAAUGAUCGAUGUAAUGUGCGGUGAUACUGAACUACCCAAAAGCCUCUAAACAGAUAAAGCUAAACAGUACACAUAUCAAAUAUUUACCUCUAGCUCUCGGCGUCGCUUCCAAUACUCAUUCUUCGAUAUAGACAUUGGUAUUGGCUCCAAACAAGCAGGUAUGUCCUUCAGAAGAGUGAAUCCAUCUAGACAAUCCGACUCCAGCUCGUUUGUUAACCACUGGUCACCCGUAAUCAGCAUCACUGUGUCUCUGAACGGUUUUGGUACCUUCCCAUCUUUUGCCUCAUACAAAUUCUUAUUCAGCUCAAAUCGAUGAUCUUCGAGGUCUAAGACGUGCCACAGGAGGUCGCAUACCAUUUCUAUCUCAAGAAGUUGUGGUUUCUGUCCAGGUAGUAGAUUUCCUUCACACAGCACAAACAAAUAAAAUGGUUAGAUUUUUUUUUUUUUUUUUGCAAGAAAAAUAAAAACAAACAGAAAAAAAUUAGGUACUAAAUGUUUUUACCUGGACGAGGAGGAGUAAUCUGAGAACCUCUACAAUUUCUACAAAACAUCUUUCUUAAGGCAAACCGCUUCACUUUCACUUUAAGCCUCUCUAGAACAUUCCUAGUUUCUCGUUCGUGAGGAUCCGUAGGGAGAUAAGGAUCCGUAGAGAGAUAACAAGUUAUCUUGUUGGUCAUGUACUUACUACCAUCUGCUGCAGGUGGAAGACCCCCUACUAUGCUUUUGAUCUCCUCCACAAGCCCUUUUGCAGUCUCAAAAUCCCUAAAUUUGGUGGUUUGCAUGUCAACAUAUACGUUGACAGCAUUCAAGUUGAAGUUGACUUAUUGAUCCAUAGUGGAACACCUUAGCAGAUCUGAUGAGAUCAAAGUUAAGCUCACCAGGAUGGAGUAUCAUGUGGGCGCUAGGGUUCCGGUAAAACAUGAACUCACGUUCUCCAUCGGAUCUAGUGUCACGAAGGCGAGUGUCGCUCCAGUGUCAAAGUUGAUUCCCUUAGGAGAGACACUGUUUUGGGUUUCAAAUGGGAGAACGUAGAUAUUUUUUUCACAUUUCUUCAAAUACCAACUCAUAAGGUGGUAUUUGUAUCUGUUCAAUUUUAACUUUAAAUAUUUUUUUGGUAUAACUCAAAAUAACUACGAGAGAUUUUACUAGUGAAAUCCUCAUUUUUCAAUAAGGGGAAAUUUUAAAGAGUUUUUAUAAAUGGCUAGUCCAAUAAGGGUGAAUUUGAUAGAGUUUUGAAAAAUCCUACAGCCAAUGAGAAGAUAUUUGGAUAAAACUAGAAUUUUCUCAAAUCAUCAAUUCAAUAAGCCCCCCCCUAGGCGUUAAAAGGGAAGCUUUUAAGCGGUAGGAAAGAGGAAGGAUUGGUUAUGUAGGCUAGAAACGAAGAACAUGGUGGAAGGAAAAGAGAUUUAGUUUAGGGCUAUGAAAAAUCUAAUUAAGUUGUUAUUCCUGAAAAGCUAGUUAUGCAAUAAAGCAAAAAAAAAACUUGAAAAUUUAAAAUUGCGACUCAACUCAACUUUAUUAGUAUAGAUAGAUAGAUAGAUGGUCUAAUUAUAUAAUAAAUACAAAGAAAACAUAAUUGUAUAGAUAUAUAAAAAAAAAUGGAUCAAAUAUAUAAAUUUAUUUAAAUCAAUACUAUAUGUUUUAAAUUUUAAUUUUAUAAAUUCACACCUAGCAAAAUAUUAAUCUGCUUGUAGGUUCUUUGUACAACAAAUAAUGAUACGAGGCCCUUUGACGGGGCCCAUUGGGCUAUUACGAUCGAUGGAGGUUUUGGCAAUGGAUAUCGAAACACUCGUUAGGGUUUUUACAGAAGAAAAAAAGAAUGCACAGAUCUGACGGUUGAGAGUAUGCUUAUCUGAGAUCCAAGGGUUAGAAAACAGGCGAGGCACAGCGUAAUAGAUCUCUCUGCGAGGGGGGACGCAGUCACAAGAAGUAGAAAAAAAAAACCCUCUCUCUCUCAUUCAAAGGCUCUCAUCUAACCCUAAUUAUAGAGAGAGAAAGUCUCCAAUCCUCAUCGGUGGAACCAUGGACGAAGAAGGCGAGACCAUCUUAUUUUAUUCCGGUAAGAUCUCUUUCUUAACAGGAAUUUGUUUGUUAGAUUUCGAUCUGUAGUAAAUUCGUUUACGCCUUGUCCUUUUUUUUUGUGUGUGUGAAAGUGAAUGAUACAUUCGUUUGCUGGAACAUUGAUGAUUGCCCAGUCCCUGUGGAUACCGAUCUUGGUUCUAUUGUUAAUAAUUUCGAACAUGCUCUUCACCAAAUGGGCUUUGCGGGGAGAAUGAGCAUCAAUGUGGAUUGUAAGAAACUCAACUCCAACGAAGAAGCCUUGUUUAAGGCCGGAAGAAUUUUCUACUUACCCUAUGGUAAAUUCCUCAGUCGCUUCUAUUUAAUUAUACGCCUAAGUUAUUAUUUAACUAAACUAAAAAAUGUUUGAUUUAUUAUGUAGGCGAAACAAUGUACGGCAAUUUUGGUACUAGGCCUACUCUGGAUAUGACUUUUUAUAUGCUCUCUGUAUUAGAAGAGACUGCACCAAUACUUGCAAAUUUAGCCGUAGUCGUCAAACCAAAUAUUGAUCCAGGUAGUGAGUUACAUAGGGUUCUGCACUGUUUGAAAUCGAGGGGUCACAAUGUUCUCCUAGUAGAGCUGCCACCUGAUGAAAAGUGUCUCUUUAGUGUUGACUCUCUACUUAAGAAUUCACGAUUUUUGGGUGGAGGAAAGCCUAGAGCCAAAAAAGAGUUAACUCCUGAAGAGAUGCGGGAGAUGCAGCGUCCGUAUGACUCGGAGGAGGAGGAGGAGGAGGAUGGUAGUUAUGAUGUUAGCGAUCUCUCCAACCAGAAAAUGUUAGAUUUCUCAGGUAAGACCAUCUCAAAUUGUUUGUUUGUUUUAGAUUUCAUCUGUCAUUUUUAAAAAUUAUAAAUGGUAUUUAGCCUCCCUCCCUCUUUUGCAUCGCUCAGAGCGUAUCAAACACGUCAAAGGGCCUAGGACAGUCAUCUUCUGGGACGCCAUUGAUUGCCCAUUCCCUCUUUGUUUCUCUCCUGAACAGAUCUUCCAGAAAAUCAAAUCAGUUCUUAUGAAAAAAGGUACGAAUGAUAAUAUUACAAUCUGGGCUUAUGUCGAUGAACGGUCUUGGAGGGAUAAGUGUUUGUGUAACAAGACUUGGGAUUCAAGAAUCUACUUUCUUCCCGCAGGUGAAUUCCAACCUUUUUCUUUGUGUGUAUGUAAUCUAUAUAUGUCUCACUUCCGUUGAUGUUUUCUCUUUUUUUUAUCCAGGGGAUAGACGUGUCAGAAUGUUAAACGACAUGUAUCUACAGUCUAGAGACGCUCCUCUGCACCAUUGUCCAGGACUUUUGAUCCUAGUCUCGAAUCAUUUCUCAGGUGACCCCUUCUACAUGGAGUUGUUUCAGGACAUGAAGCACCGAAAUUACCAUCCUUUCUUGAUAACUCCGAGGGAGCACAGCAACAUAUCAGAAAGCCCUGAUGAAUGGCCACAGUCUCUAUUUAAUAGACCUCGCAAAAGCUCACAAGGACCUCUUCCCAAAAAGCCUAAACUGGAUGCUGCUUAAAGUAGCACAUGCCCAGGGCUGAUGAUACUCUGGUUAUUAUGAUGUUGGAUCUUGCUUGCUUCACAAGAUCUAUUGUUGCAUCCUGAUAUUUAUAUCAAAAACUCUUGUUCUUAUUUUGGGUUUACGCUUUUGUUUAUUUUAAACUGCAAACUCUGUUGUGACAAAUUUUAUUGGCUACACUAUCCUUGCUGCUGGCCAAGGAGUUGAACAUGCAAGGAAAAGAUAAGAUUUUUCUUUAAAGAGAAAGUGCUAAUGAUGAAAUUGGCUUGUGGCAAAGCAUAAUCAAGCAUCCAUUCCUUAUUCACAUUGUUCCAUCCCUUCACUCUUUUCUCCUUAGUCUAUAGGCUCUUCACUGACUUGAGAGCUUCUUUCUAAUAGUUCUCUAGAACAGAGGAGUUUCAAGCAUAACCAAGGAAGUCUGGCUCCAAUACAAUGGCAAGAUCAAGGAAAAGGUCAAUUGUCAAAAACUCACAAAAGGUAAUCAGAUACCUUCGUUUCAAGGUAGUUUCAAGCAAAGGUCAAGGAACUCCGGUAGUAGGACAAAUGCAAGGUCAUGAAAGUUAAGUGCCUUCAUCUCAAAAGAGUUACAACCAAGGCCAGGGGACACCAAAUCCAUGUACAAAGCCAAGGUCAAGGAAGUCAAACACCCUUCUAUCAUAUUGGUUAUAGCCAAGUACAGGGGGCUCAUCUCAAGGAUCACCAAGCAGUUACUCCCAAGGAGGGAGCAGUACCCAAGGGCCAUCAGCUUUUCGAAGUUAAUUAUACCACAUUUAUUAACUUUAUUUUGCUAACAAAAGUUUGUGUGAUGUAAUUAAUACCUAAAUUUAUAUUUUCGCGACAAUAUGCCAAUCAAAUAUAUAACUGACGAUUAAAACCAUUUAAUAGAAAAAUAAAUCCAAAUUCUAUUUUGAAAAUAUAAUAAUUAGAUUUUAAAGUAAUUCCAAGUCAAUACUCCCAAAAAAAAACUAAUAUUUUCACGAAAAUACGGCAAUCAAACAUAUAACUUUUUAUGGGUAAAUUUGUGAAGUUUUAUUAUCAAUGUAUAAUUCAUAAUUUAAAUAAAUUAGUUACAAAAAGAAGUCAAAAUUAUAUUUGGAAAAUACAUAUUGCUUAGAUUGUAAAGUUAUUUAUCUUCUAUACUAUUAUUUAUGAAGUGAAUUUGAUUACUUGUCAUAUUUUUCAUGAUUGUAUAUAUACUUUUCAUGAACUUUAGAAAAUUUAACUAAUAAAUCGAUAUUAACAAUUGAUAUUAAUCAUAUCUACUGAUAGUAUCAUAAUUACGUUUAUCUUAAAUUUUGUUUAUGUAAUGACUACUAUUAUUGUCAGUUUCUUUGAUUCUUAUUGAAAAUAUGAUCCAAAUAAUUAUUGCAAUAUUAAAGUAAGAUUAAAGAUAAAGCAUUAUGAAAAAUAUGUCGCAAAAUAUAAAUUAUAUACUUAUGGUAAAUACCAUGUAUAUAAUAGGACAAUUCUCUCAAAUAGACAUUUUUAAGUUUUUGUCACAAAUAUAGCCCUCGAACACUAAAAUGACCAAAGUGAUAUUUUUAUUUUGAAAAUUUUAUUAUUUUAUUAUUUUAUUAUUUUUUAAAUUUUUAAAUCAUAUCCCCAAAACCCACUCCUCAACUAUAAAUCCUAAACCCUAAACUCUAAACUCUAAACUCUAAACCCUAAACCUUAAACCCUAAACCUCACUCCUUAACUAUAAACCCUAAUGUCUAGAUUAAUUAACUCUAGAGGUAUAAAUGUAUAUUUACUUCUUUUGAUAAAACAUUUAAGCCUAUUUUAGUUAUUUUAUUUUUAAGGUCUAUAUUUGUGACAAAAAAAGAUUUUAGGUCUAUCCUAAAGAAUUUCUCUAUAUAAUAUUAAACAUUCUUAUUCCUAACCUUAAAUAUAUUACUAUGUAUUUGUACAUGACAAGCAUCAAAAUGACAAAUGAGUUCAGGCUAAUAAUGAAUUUAUCUAUAAAAUUUCAAAUUUUAUCAAAAUAAUAUAUGUAAAACCAAAAUAUUAAAUAUUUUAUAAACUACAAAAUUAACUUAAAAUAUUAAAAAUAUAUAGAAGCAUGAAAAACUAGGGUUAAAACAUUAAAUAACACUUAAAAUUUGACAAAUAAUAAACAUAAUAUAAAUAUAAUCUAAGAGAAUACAUAGGUAAUAUUUUGUAAUUCAAUAUUUCUUUUUUUGUGUUUUUGUCUCACUGAUUUUAAAAUCUAAAUCAUAAAGAAUAUAUAAUGUUUGUUGACUGUAGUCUUAAGUAAAAAAAUGCUAAUAAGUACUUAUGCACUAUUUGAUUACUGCAACAUAAAUACCAAUCAAACUUCCAUGAAACAACAAAAAACAAAUUUCUAUUCCUUAAAUAAGUUUCAAUCAAUAUAUAAAAAAUUCUACAGUUGCCCUAAUUAUUUUUACUUUUAUGUGUUUCAUUAAAUUAAAACAUCAAUCAAAAUCUAUGCAACGCACGGAUCUAUACUUAGUAAAUACUAAUAAAGUUGAGUUGAGUCUCUUGUAUGAACAAUUAGUGAUACCUGACAAUUCUAAAUUCUCAAGUUUUUUUCUUAUUGUAUAACUAAUUUUUAGAAAACCAGGCCUUAAUUACAUUUUUCAUAGCCCUCAACUAAGCUCUUUUCCUCCCACCAUGUUCUUCGUCUCUAGCAACAGAACCAACCCUUCUUCUUUUCCACAACUUAAAAGCUUCCCCUUUAAUGCCUAAGAACAUGAUUAUUUGGGAGUUCUUAGGGUGAGGUUCUUAACAGAAUAUAAGAACCCGUCUCUUAAUUUUUAACUAAAAAAGCUAAGAACCGGCUCUUAAAUAAGUUUUAAGAGCCGGUUCUUAGCUUUUUUAGUUAAAAGUUAAGAGACGGAUUUUUAUAUUCCGAUAAGAACUCCACCCUAAGAACCCUCCAAUAAUCAUGCUUUAAGAUCCAAAUUUAACACUUUUUAAACAAAUAUCAUUAUGUAUUAACGCCUAAGACCCAAAUAUAGAUACAUAUAAUAUUAUCCUUUUUAGACUACUUAAUAUUAUUUCAUCUAAUUAAUAAUGCUCUAUUAUUUAAAGAAGGUGAAUUCACGUAAGAUAGUCUAUGCAUUUAUGUUUUAUAAUUAUCAAUGAUAUUUAACUUUUUAAUAUAUUAGGGGCAGGCCCGCCCUACGGUCGGGUAUGUCUACGUAAAAUUAUUUUAUAUAAAAUGUAUUUUAAUUUUAUAAUAUUUUUGAAAAUUAUCUUUAAAUUAAAUAUAGUAAAUAUUGUUUUUUUCUAAGAUCAUAUUGUAGAUUUGUUAAUUUUGUUCCAAUAACUCAUAAAGAAUACUUUUUUCAGACCACUUAUCAAACCAAAAGGAAGUGUUGCAACUAUUUCCCACUUCAAUCUUAUAAAACAUCUUCGCAACAUCUCUAAGCUUCGACAUUUUCCUCCGAACUCUUUCUCUUGAGUAGAUUGUUUUUUAUCCAUUUCCUCCGUAGAGAUUCCCCAGUCAACAUCCUCCAGAUUAGCUUCAGUCCAUUCACCACAUUCACUUCUUUUAAAGCUCCAGAAAUAAAAAUUUAACGUUCGGUCUUCAGUUCGUGGUACCAAGUCGUCUUCUUCUCUGCAUCAUCCUCUUAUCUCCGCCGUGCUUUGCUCUCCGCGUGGCCUCAAGCUUCGCCGAGAUUCUCCUCCAUCGCCACGAUGUCACCAGACCAAGCACAGCGAGCUCCUCCACCGCCGCAGCCAUUGUCGUUCUGUCCAAGCACGGCGAGCUCCUCCACCGCUGCAGCCAUCGUCGUUCUAUCCAAGCUUCCGGUGUCGUGAAUAAAUCUCCAAGCCGCAGCCAUCGUCGUCCAGCUCCGGAGGCGACAUCGCAUCAAGCGGAGCUUUCACGAAGAGCAACAAUGGUGAAUUGUAGAGUAUUUUCACAAUUGGUCCUUCAACCGUUUGGUUCUUCUCUUCAUGGCCCAAGUUAUCAAAAUAGAAUAUACAUCCUACGAAUCAACUCCUGAACUUCUGAUUUUACAAUCUAACCCAAACGAAUAUUCUGAUUUUUGCAGCAUUGGUCCCUGAAUCUUGAUAACUUCAUAUUUGACCCCAGACUUCCAUAAUGUACAAUUUAACCCAUGAUUAUCGUCCCAAACUUCCAAUUGUGCACUCCAAACCCUAAUGCACAUGAAUGAACAAAUAUAUACGAUGUAGACACCUAUAUGCAAUCUAAAGUGAUCAUAACAAGCUAAAGUAUGAACCUAAAACUCAUCAAAAUCACUAGAUAUCAACAUGCAAUCGCGGCAUUGUUUUUUUUUUUUUUUUUUUUUCCGUGGGGGAUCCCAGGCGGUAAGCCCAGACUAAUCCCCACGAGGCCUUCCAUCCGGGCACGCAUGGUUAUAGGCGGGAAGGUGGCCAAGGCGACUCGAACCCAGGGCGGGCACUCCAGCUGGAGUUCCAUUACCACUAGGCCAAGAGCUCUUGGUUAAUCGCGGCAUUGUUAGCCAUUGCAUAUUAAUCUUUGCACGAUCUGCUUGAGGCGGUUCAAACACUUUCUCACAACAGCAGCAAGGUCUCAAUUGUGCCCAAAAUGAUUUCUAGCAACACUGGUUCGAACCAAGAAUACUCACUCUGUCUCUAAGAACCAUAGCAUUGAUUCUCUCAUUUGUUAUGUAAUAUUUCACCGUUCUGCAACAGUGAGUCCUGGAUUAGUUGUUGCAGUAGCAGCUGCUUGCAUGUUGUAGCUUUUGGUCACAUACUUAAGACUAGUGUUCUUAAUGUUUUCUGAAGUCAUACCAUAUUUGCUAACUUUCGGUUGCUAUCAAAAGAAUCUGUGUGAUGGAAUUUUACCUUGUAAGUACCUAAUUAUAUAUUUCACGAGAAUAUGCCAAUCAAAUAUAUAACUGAUGAUUACAACCAUUUUUUACAAAAAAUCCCAAUGUUAUAUUUUUAAAAUAAAAUAAUUAUAUUUUAGAGUUAUUUGAAGUCAAUACUCCCACAAAACCCCUAAAAAUUCAAAUACUUUUUGGGAAAUACCAUAGGAUAGCAGUAAAAAAGUUUAUGUCACAAAUAUAGACUCUAAGAAUCAAAAUGACCAAAAUGUUUCAUUAAAGAGGUAAAUAUACACUUAUACCCCUAGGGUUAACUAAUUCAAACCUUAAGGUUUAGAGUUAAGGGGUGGAGAUUUGAGAUUGAAGUUUAAAAUUUUAUAAAAUAAAAAAUAAAUAUUAAAAAUUUGAAAAUAAAAAAUUUAAAAAUAGUUUCAAAAAUUAUUUUCGAAUUACAAAAAGAAAAUUUGAAAAGAAAAUAAAACAAAUUUCGAAAAAAAAAUUCAAAAUCUUUUGUUUUUUAAAAAGUUCAAAUUUGAAAAUAUAUAAUCUAAAACUAUAUUAAAAAGUAUUUUUUUUUAUUUUUUUUAUUUUUUAUUUUUUUUAUAUAUCUAGGGUAUUAGUGUCCUUUUACCUAUUAAAUGAAACAUUUUGGUCAUUUUUCUCCUUGUGAUCUAUUUUUGUGAUCAAAACUUGAAAAUUGUCUAUUUAGGAGAAUUACCCAUACUUUUUGGUAAAUAUGUUAAUAUUUAUUGUCAAUUUAUAUUAGAUAACUUAAACCAACUAUUUACACAAAAUAAGUCAAAAUUAUUUUUGAAACAUACAUAUUGCUUUGAUUUGAUUUUAGAGUUAUUUGUAGUCAAUAGCCCACAGGAACCUUUUAUUUACAAAACAAAGACACAUACUUUAUGAGACUUAACUCGGCCCAGUAAUUUAGUCUUAAGACUUCAGGCCCAUUAUUUGAACUGUGCCACGUGGCCUUUCGCUAAUAAAAACCCUGAACCCUCGUUUCAUUUCAGGAGACAUCUUCACUCUCAUCGUCGGAGAACUGUCACCUUCAGCGUCAGCGGAGGUCUGCUCGCUUUUAGUUUUUUUCACUCUCUCUCCACUCUUCUUCUGUUUAUUUUCUUCCCCUCUUGUAUGAGUUAGUGCUUACUGAAUCAAAUUUCUGCUGACUUCCUCUCUGUUUCCUAGGGUUAAUUUUAGGGUUACUCGUUAUGUCAACGGACUCGGAAGCUGAUUUUGCCGUCAAUGCGUCGACUUUCGAGAGCGGAGAGUCUGAUUCCGAGAGUGAGGGCACAGGUUUAGAUGCAGAGUCUGAGGAAUGCUCGCAAAGAUCGAAACUUGAGAGUCUGAAGAAGCUAUCUGAUUCAGAUUUGGUUUGGGGCAAAGUAAGCAGCUUUCCAUGGUGGCCUGGCCAAGUCUUUCUCAACUCAUCAGUUGCCUCCAAAAAGGCCAAGAAGCACUUCAAGAAAGGAGCUUUCUUGGUCGCCUACUUCGGAGAUUGCAGUUUCGCUUGGACCGAUGUAUCAAAGAUUAAGCCUUUCCGUCAGCACUUCUCGCAGAUGGUGGAGCAGAGCGACUCCCCUGAGUUUCGUAACGCUGUUGGUUGUGCUUUGGAAGAGGUUUCGAGGAGAGUGGAGUUCGGUUUGUCUUGCGGUUGUGUCUACCAGGAAGCUUAUGAUAGAGUCAAGACUCAGAGCGUGAUGAACGCUGGGAUUAGAGAGGAGUCAAGGGUGAGAUACGGUGGAGAUGAGGCGUCGAGCGCUGGCCUUUUCGAACCUGCGAAGCUUGUGGAGUAUAUGAAGCGUUUAGCUUGUUGUCCAAGGUAUGAUGAGAGUGAUGAUAAGCUGUUGUUUGUGAGUAACCGAGCUCGGUUAUUUGCGUUUCAGCAGUGGACAAGCUGUAUUAACUUUCCUAGAUACGAAACGGUUCUUAAGGAUGUGUCUGAUGCAAAGAGAGAAGAGGAGACUUUGUCAGAUUGUAUUGCAGAGAGAAGCAAAUCAGUUGGGAAGAAGCGUAAGGUUGAGUCUUUGGAAUCAGGUAAGCCUGAGAAAAAGAUCAAGACGGUGGCUGAACCAUCAUGUUUUUUAAUGGGAGCUAUCCCUUUGAGGAUGGAAAGCGAGGUGAUGACUCAUACACUGAACCCUUUGGGUGGUGAUUCUAACUCUAUUUCAAAGCCUGAUGAGAUGAUCUCAAGCCUAAAGGGAACACCUAAACCUCUCAACUUAGAGCACUCCAAUUAUGAAGAUUUUGAGAAGUUUAUAGAGGAAACGUCUUGUGGUAAUCUCAGCCACGACUCGGAGAAGGCGAGUGUACCUAGUGAUGUGAAAGAAUCUUCAGACCAGCCUGAGUCAGGCUCCAAAGUGGUGCAAACCGGUGUCAAAGACUGUUCAGCAGAUUCAUUGGCAGCACCCAAUGCAUUGAUCCUCAAGUUUGCUAGUUCAGGUUCCGUUCCAUCCGCAGAAAAGCUGAACAGCAUAUUCAACCGUUAUGGUCCCCUCAGAGAAGCGGAGACUAGGGUCAUGAAGAAAGGCAAGAAAGCUAGAGUGAUUUUCAGAAGAGGUGAAGAUGCAAAGACUGCCUUCAGCAGCUCCGGGAAGUACAGCAUCUUUGGACCUUCUCUUCUAAGCUACAGCCUCAAGUAUGUUGCCCCCCCCCAAGCCAAAGAGAACAACGACAUGUACCAAUCAAGUGGAGCUGCUCAAGUGGAAUCUCAUAACAAGCUCGCUAUUGGAAUGAACAGCACCGCUUCAGCUCAACUCUUUGAAGAGCAUGUGGACGACGGUUCUUACCCAUCUAGUCUUGAACCAGUAGUAGCAGAAGACGUUGCCUGGGAUAAUCCUACUGAUAGUGGUAGUGGUGAUCAAACCACGAUUACGUUUGGGAGUUUUACCGUUCCGGUAAACACCAGGGGAAGGUCCGGUUUUGAUAAAAGCAUGUCUGAGGCAGGAAGCUCCAGCAAUGAGGAGUAUGAAAAAAAAAAUGACAACGAAGGAUUUCAGGUUGUAGGUUGUCCCUACGAGUUCAACAACUUCAACUUGAAUGCUGUCAACGUAUAUGUUGACAUGCAAACCACCAAAUUUAGGGAUUUUGAGACUGCAAGAGGGCUUGUGGAGGAGAUCAAAAGCAUAGUAGGGGGUCUUCCACCUGCAGCAGAUGGUAGUAAGUACAUGGCCAACAUGAUAACUUGUUAUCUCUCUACGGAUCCUUAUCUCCCUACGGAUCCUCACGAACGAAAAACUGAGAAGGUUCUAGCGAGGCUUCGAGUGAAAGUGAAGCGGUUUGCCUUAAGAAAGAUGUUUUGUAGAAAUUGUAGAGGUUCUCAGAUUACUCCUCCUCGUCCAGGUAAAAACAUUUAGUACCUAAUUUUUUUCUGUUUGUUUUUAUUUUUCUUGCAAAAAAAAAAAAAAAAAUCUAACCAUUUUAUUUGUUUGUGCUGUGUGAAGGAAAUCUACUACCUGGACAGAAACCACAACUUCUUGAGAUAGAAAUGGUAUGCGACCUCCUGUGGCACGUCUUAGACCUCGAAGAUCAUCGAUUUGAGCUGAAUAAGAAUUUGUAUGAGGCAAAAGAUGGGAAGGUACCAAAACCGUUCAGAGACACAGUGAUGCUGAUUACGGGUGACCAGUGGUUAACAAACGAGCUGGAGUCGGAUUGUCUAGAUGGAUUCACUCUUCUGAAGGACAUACCUGCUUGUUUGGAGCCAAUGCCAAUGUCUAUAUCGAAGAAUGAGUAUUGGAAGCGACGCCGAGAGCUAGAGGUAAAUAUUUGAUAUGUGUACUGUUUAGCUUUAUCUGUUUAGAGGCUUUUGGGUAGUUCAGUAUCACCGCACAUUACAUCGAUCAUUUUUUUUACUUAGCUUGCUUUAAUAUUAGCUCUCUGUUGAUACGUACCAGUUCUCUAAUGAGAUGUAUUCUUGCUUCUGCUUAUUAAUGCAGGGGCAGGUUUGAAGUCCUUCUAUGAUGGAUGGUGAAACUCAAGAUUAUUUGCUUUUUGUUUCUUUUUGUUGAAAUUUUCCUGGAUGGUUUUGCGCUUGAUAGAGCGGUGAAUCUGUGGAUUCUAUCAUUUCGUUUUGUCCUAUUUUGUCCUAUUCGACACUUGAUUUAGUUUUUUUUUUUUUUUAAUAAUGUCCCAGCUAGUCUUGAAGAUACCGUAACCAAGCUAAAUUAAAAAAAAAGGCAUCACAAAUCCUUUCCCUAGUAUAUUAAGUUUAAAAAAUAGAUAUAUAUAUACUUCUAUCGAAAAUACAAUAUAGAACAUAUUUUCGGUCUCAACUACUCUCGAUCGACAUUACAUGUGAUAUAAUGAAUCCAAUGGACAAGCAUUGUUUGGUUCUAUAUGUUAUUGUUCUCGACUAUAUUCGUAGUCUUCCAUCGAAAAGCAUUGAUGUAUAUAGGCUCUGUCAAUUCCUUCAUAUAACUCAUUAAAAAAUUUGUUAUUUCAAUCCCACGGAAAUUUGGUUAAGUUUGUGGGGAUGUCUUGUUGAUAUAAGAAUACGGAUAUACUUAUUAUGGAAUACAAUUUUUAAUGGUCAGGAAGAAUUACGCUUAAAUGUCGAGUGGUUUUGAGACAUGCAUGAUUUGUUUUUCUUUUUCUAGUUAGGCCAUCGUCGUUUACUUGUCGCGCGACCUUUCACCUGUGAUCGCAUGUCGCAUGUUGUUGUUCGUUUUGCUGUCGCGUAACAUGCGACUUGCGAUUGGUCGCAAGUCGCAGGUUGUUGUUCGUUUUGAUGUUGCACGACUGAUCGCGCGACCAGUCGCGGGUUCCAAUUCAAGUCGUCCGAAAAAACAACGACUAAAAAUUAAGAAAAUUUUGAUCGAACGAGUGGUCGCAGGUCGCAUAUCGCAGGUCGCGCGACACGUAAACGAACAUAGUUUUAGUCGCAGGUCGCAGGUUUAGUCGCAGGUCGCGCGACACGUAAACGAACAUAAUCUCAGGUUGGGUAAACGGCCUUACCUAUUCCUAUGAUAUGUCUUGUCUACUGUUGCGUGUCUAUGCCUUUAGAUAUGAAAACAUAAAUUUAUCUUUAUGAAAUUUUAUUUUACGAGAUGCGAUCUUUGUAGUAGCAUAUAUCAGGUAUAUAGAUGCAUCUGUUUACUACUAGAAUCAAGGUUCAGUACUAGAGAAAUAUAUAAGAAGUCUUACAAAAUGACUAAAUGAAAACAUAAUAAGAAUUGGUUAUAUAUAGCCAACUUUAAUUUGACUUUCAUCUUAUAAUUUGGUCGGUAUGCCCCAACCAAAUCUAUCCCUUUCAUUCUAAGCAUCGUGUGACAUAUAUAAUAGUUAAGUCAAGGUUUAUCUCUCAUAAAACUAACUCAAAAGAAUUAGCUAACCUCAUGAUUACCUUCUUCGUUGGAAAUUAAUUACUCACUCAUGAUUCUCUCCUUUAUUUAGCCUCAAACCAUAACUCUCCCACAGAUUCUGAUCUCCGUCUCCCAUGAAGAACGGGAAGCAGUUUGUAUUAGCGGCCAUUGCACCGCUCGGGUUUCCAGCGGCUGCGUUUACAUUUGAUGUUGAAGAACCCACAUUGCCUUGUUCAUUCAUCUGAUGACGCUGAUCAUUAUCAUUAUAUCCACUUUCUUGAUUGUUGUAGAUCGUAUUUUCUUCGGUUGUUGGAUAGUAAACGCCGCAGCUCGACGAAUUGUCCUUCCUUUUCUUGUUCAUUUUCUUCUUUCCAUUGCUUAUCCACUCCCAAUUUUCCUUGCAUAACAAGGCACUUUUCUGAUCGAACCCUAACUGAGCCAUUUUCCCUGCGACUUCCUCCCAUAAAGAAUCAUCCGAGCAUCCUCCCAAUAUCUCUUGAAACGCCGAGUCCAUACUAGUUCUUAUCUCCAUAAGCUUUGUGAUCUCUUGCUCAUUCCAGCAGCUACCACUUCCUUCAAUAGAAACAUUGUUAGUCAUUGUUUGGUCGCUUUCAUUGUCAUUCUGAUUCUCACUGUUCUUUUGGAUCUCAUUAUUACCAUUAAUCCUCUCCUCUGGGGAUGAACAUAACGGCUUUAUUAACGUCUUUCCGGUCAAAAACUGCAAAGCCUCAAUCACCGCCACAUCCCUAGCUUCCAUCCUCUCCCUCUCUUUAGACAAAAAAAAAGCUCUUUAUCGAUCCUCGCAGCCUCACUCUUUCUCCAUUCCUCUUCUUUCAUCAUCCUUCGUUCCUCUUUGUCUUCAAUAACCUUUGUCAACUUCUCAAGCCAAACAUCUUGCCUCUCCAUCAACCUUUUCAUGUUCACAUCAAUGAACUCCUUAAUCUUAUUUUUCCAACUCCUCUUUUUCCUUCUACUACUAGAAUCAUUCCCCUCAGAAGACGAAGUCACCAACUCCAGCUCGGAGGAAUUGUAGUUGUUAGAAAGGCUUAGGCUUUGACGAUGGAAACCAUGAACACUAUCAACGUUAUGGAUGUUAGACGUUGUUGUAGUAACGUCGUUCAUGGCGUUUUGAGUGUGGAAACCAUGAAGAGCAUUGCUCAUGAACUGUGUGUUAUGACUGGGACAAGGAACCAAGUUGUUGGAAUCACCGUAGAGCGCCUCGAGCUGCCGGAAAAAUCUAUAGUGUUUACCGUCUUGUCUUCCGGCUUUGCCUUCUCUAGUCUUCUUAUAGUAUUUGUAAAGGUUCUCAAACUUCUCUCUGCAUUUUUUCCCACUCCUUUGGUAUCCAUGUUCCUCAGACAUAAUCCUAAAUGUUAAAGCAAAAUAAGACUACAUGUACAAUACUUCAUGUUUCGAUUAAAAUUUAAAGCAGUACCCUAAUCUUGAAACUAGGUUUGAAUCAUGACUGUUCAUAAGAUAUUCAUAUAUUCAUCGUUUUCAUGCAUAAACGUAUACAGAAUAACAUUGUAUGGUCUAUUCGCUUAAGUUUAGAUAAUAACUUAAAAGUUUGUUUUUCUUACAUAACCAAGAUUAUUUUGGAGACUUACUAGUGGACUAAUAGUUUAGCACAAGAACGUGUUUCUAUGCAUAGUUACACAAAAGAAGAGGGUACAUAUCUCCUGAAACUAAGAAAGAUGAAUCAGAAGUUAUCAGUAAAAAGGGAGAAAACUAAAAUCAAAGUCAAAGAUGAUAAUAGAACUCUUUAUUUUACUAUUUUCUAUGUUUAACCUUUUGGGGUCUUAAAGCACUUGCUAAUGUCUUAACUGAAACUGCCAAGGUCUGGUCAUUCUCUCGACCAAACCAAAACGACUCCUAGAGAAAUUGUUUUAAACUGACCACUCUGCAGAUACACAUUAAUAUGUGUGUGUGUAUAUUUACAUAUAUACGCGCGAAUGUAAUAUUUAUAUGUGUCCCUAUAUUGAUCAGCUCAAAAAGUAUGUUGAAAUUGAGGAGCCCAAGGGAAGUGUUGAGAUCACAUUCUUUCUAGUCAUUAAUGCAGAAAAAGGUUUAACUUGUCUUCGGGAUUAUCACUUGAAAGGUCUAAUUUUUAACAAGAAAGCGUAUGAAAGGUCAAAUCUUUUCAAAUCUGAAAAAAACUCCGGAAAACAAAAUGCUUAAAUUUUAUUAAUAGUUUUUUGAAGAUGUAGCUGUUUAGUGUUUAGAAAUGAAUGUUUUCUUCCAUUGGAAAUUUAUUAAUUUUCGCCUAAUUGACUAACUUUUUUAAAUAGGAUACAGUGUCGUCGAUGAAUCAAAAGACUCUUAUGGUAUGAAUUGGUUUGAGAAAUGUGCUUAAUAUUUUUUAAUAUUUUUAUGAAAAAUAGCGGAAAAUAAAAAGAGAGAGAGAGAGAUUAGGGUUAAGUGAAGCAAACCUAGAAACUUCAUCCCAUAGAGGUCCCUUUUGAUUAGCUUCUUUGAACUUAUGAUCAAGACGAGAUCUAAUCUCCAGCAGAGUUAGGGUUUCUUGUCUCGGCCAUCUCCCCGUUCCUCCACCAUCUCCUCCUCCACCGCCGCCGAUACCUCCUCCGCCACCGCCUCCCCGCCAAACCCAACUGCUCCACCACUGCUGCUAGCGUUUAAGUUACUGUUAUUUCCAGCCGUCGAAGAACUCCCACCCAGUCCAUGUAUGCCACGUGGUAAGAAACCCAUCUCCUGAUCUGUAGUGAACUGAUGUAGCCGGUGGUGUUGCUGCGGCGGAGGGGGCGCAGCCGGAGCUAGGUUGAAGCCAAAGAAAUCAGAGGGAAAAUGAGAAGAGGUCGACGGUGAUUCCGUCGUAGUCACCCUCCCUCCGCCUUGCAUGAGCUGGCGGAGCUCCGGUACACCGUACUGAGGAUGAUGAUCGUCCAUUUUUACAUUUAUAUUCAGCUUAAAGAGAAGGAAAAAGUAAAGGCUCUCUACCUUUUAAUUCCAAAGAAAGAGAGAAAAGAUUGAAGCUUUUUUAGAGAGAGAGACUGAUCGUGUAGUUCAUGAAAAAGGUCGAAUGUAAGCUACAGAUAUGGUCCCAUGACUUAUAACAUUUUUUUAUUUUUCUUGUUGAAUGAGUGUGGGCGAGAGAGAGGGAAGAAAGCGAUCACUACAAGAAAGAGUAGCUGACUCCGAGAAAAACUUCCGACAAUUCAAGUUGUGGGUAAGUUAGCGACUGCGAGAUUUCCGACAAAUGAGCUUUCCGACAAAUGAGCUUCUAGGUAGUUUCCGACAGUUGACCGAUGACUACUCAUUUCCGAGACCCAAACUCCGACGUCUUGCGGUUUCUCGGCAACACAUCGGACUUAACUAAUUCCGACGAGAUACCCGUAAAUGUUACCGUCGCUAUUUGCUACUCUUUCUUGUAGUGGAUGUAUGGUACGUAUGGAUACUACAUACAGAUCUUUUUGUAUGAGAAUUUGUAUGUAUAUGUCUUUAAGUUUUUGUACCAUGUCCAUGUGUCUUAGUUCUCAUUAUCUCUAUCAAAUAAUUUGAAUACAUGCAUUGAUGUAUAUAUAUUCAUUUCAAUGUAAGGUUAGAUACAAUAAUAGUUCGAGCCAUCGAGGUAUUCUUCUUUAAAUCUUGGCUGUAGGAUUGGUUUUCAAAUUAUGAUCUGAAGACACUUUUCCAUUUCCUCUGUAGAUUUUUUACUACCGAGUUUAAUUAUUAUUCAAUAAAAAUAAUAUUAUUUAUAUAGCUCAUGAUAAAACUGUAGUUGCUGGGUGGAUAUUUUUACUUUUCUAUUAUAUGUUUCUAAAAGAAUGAUGUAUGUGACACUUUAACAGCUCCCCUCCCAUGUUGGCCUUUGGCGGUGGAGAUGCUGGUGCUUGGAGAGAAGAAGAAGAUCGAUCAUAUGUGUUCUUAAAUAGAAUGUUAUGUCAGAAGUUCCGUUUGUUCCAUAUAGAUGACCGCACAAACUUGUUGAACUCUAUCUAACUUUUUUAAUCCCUCCAAUUGCUCAACUUUCAAUUGUUUCACGAUUAUUCAAUCACCAUAGUUUUUUUUUUUUUAUGACCAUAGCGCUCGUGCCACAGUCUUGCUAUGUCAUCAGUUGUUGUCUGCAGGCAUCGACGUUCACUGGAUUCUGCAACAUCUUUACCUUGAUCAAUCAGCAUGAACAUGCGAUUUGCACUCAUCUUACUUUCUGCUAUCAAGCCCUUCUCUUCAUGAUAGAUUUUGCAGACUCCACUCUGAAUGAUGAUCGUGAUUUUCUUCUCCUGCAGCUGUCCCAAGCUCAGAAGGUUGUUCUUUAGUUCUGGUACGUAGUACACAUCACUUAUCAUGUAGCUUGCACCAUUGAACAUCAGCUUCAGGUUCCCUUUUCCAACAACCUCCAUCCUCUUGUUGUUGCCUAGCUUGACUGAAUGACUGAAUUUCUCAUCAAGCGUGGAGAACAAGCUCUUGUCUCCGCUCAUAUGAUUUGAGCAACCUGAGUCAAGAAACCAUACUUUCUUCCUUAAGCUCUCUUGUCUCUCAGAACCAACCAUUAGUGAGUGCACAACGACUUGGUUGCCUGCCUCCUCUUGAUGCACUUCAUCAAUCUCCAGUUCCUCAACAAACGCCAUUAGUAGCAUCUCUUCAUCUUCAAGAUCUGCAUAAUUUGCCUCUUCUUCCCACUUUGGACAUUCAUUCUGGAAAUGACCAAGCUUGUGGCACUUGUAGCACUCCACUGUGCUCUUGUUGAAUGCAGUCCUGCCACGACCUCGUCCUCUACCUCUUGCGAAAGACCCUCUGCCUCUGGAUCCCAUUCCUCUCCCAUGUGUGAUCUUUAGUACUUGAUCAUCACCUUUCUCACUCUUCUUAAACUUCUGCUCGUGAACCACCAAAGAACUCUGCAGUUCAUCUAAUGUGACGGUCUCAAUGUCUUUGGAUUCUUCAAUUGAUACCACCACAUACAUGAACUUCUCACUGAGAGUUCUGAGAAUCUUCUCAACCACCUUUGAGUCUGUCAUGACCUCACCAUUGCUCCUCAUUUGAUUGGUAAUUCCCAACACACGCUUGAAGUAUUCCUCAAUACUUUCACUCUCCUUCAUCUCCAAGACUUCAAAAUCUCUUCUCAACUUCUGCAGUAGCGAUCUCUUCACUCGAGCAUUGCCACCAUACUUCGAUUUCAUCGAAUCCCAGAUGAUCUUAGACGUUCUUCUGUCCAAGAUCUGCUCAAACGUCACCCUGUCAAUGCUCUGGUACAAGUAGUGCUUGACCUUGUGAUCGUCAGUCCUGCUGUUCUCCAGUUGCAGGCUCUGUUCUGCAGUCAGCACUGUUGCAUCUGCAGGUUCUUCAACACCGGUUUCAAUCGUACUCCAUAGUCCCUUGGCUCGGAAGAAGUUCUCCAUAACUUCACUCCAGUGAUCCCAAUGUCCAUCGAACUGCGGCAGUUUCAUCUUGUCGUUUCCCAUCUCUUUUUUUCUAAGCACAGAGCUCUGAUACCAAUUUGUAAUAAUAUCAAGUACUCUGUUUUUGUAUAUGAAAACUGUAAUUCAUUCGAUGAAACAAAUGGCUGUUAAAAUAGUCUUACAGAGAAAACAAUGAACUCCUAAAAAUAAGCAACUAAGGAACCAACUACUUGAACAAGCUUGGACCUAAAGACUCGGUACUGACUUCGUGCUAAACGCACUACUAUUAUUGACUUAAACAAAUAAACAUGACAAAGACCAAUUCAAACUUCAAUGACUUCAAACUUCCAACGGCUCUCAUCUCUUUGAAUUGCUCCAACACUUUAUGAUACGUUGAGCAUGUGGCUAUAAAAAAUCUUCGUUUUUUUCUCAUAGAAUAUGAUUCAUACGAAUAACAAAACAAAAGAUCCUUCGCUUGAAUGUUUUUUUAUUUAUUGUUAGUUUCUUGUGUCUCGAAUGAAACAUCAAGAUAGGUGACAGGUUAUGUUCUCUGUUAACGUGAGAUAGAAGCAUACGCAAUUGUAUAUUGAAAAUCUAAGUGAUAUACAUCUAAAAAUUUACGGAAAAAUUUUAUCAUCUCGACUCUAAAAUUCUUUUUUAUUGGUUUAUUUUAGUAUUGUAACUUUAAUUUAUAUUCUUAUUACUUUUGAAAAAUAUCAGUUGCUGUAUAAUAAUAAGAUAAGAUUCCUACAUUCUCAAAUAUUUAAAUAUUAUUUAUUGUUUUAUACUAACAAUUAGGUACUUUUGAAGUUUGCACAAUUUUCUUAAUACUCUUCUUAUUUCACUGUGUUUUUUUUAGUAAAAAUCUUUGUUUCAUAUAUAUACUAAAAUCUUAAAGAAAAAUAUUAUCAGUAUUUCUAAUAUUUCCAUAUUUUUGCUACGAAUAAAUAUAUGAUCUUCCACUAACCAUAGUUAUUUUAUAAAUAUUAUGAUGUAAAUAUUUUUGGCUAACAUAAUAUAGAAUCUUUUUAGAUAAUGAUGAUUAUCAAAUUAAUGAAAUUUGUUUAUAAUUUAUGGGUAAUUAUAUAUUAACAAAAAUAAUCUAAUUAUUUUUAUGUAAGGGUAAUGAAGACUUUAAAUGUUCUAACUUUUAACGUGAUAGCAAAAAAAAAAAAUUACAAAUAAUAAUAUAAAUAUUUUUGAAUUCUUUGCUAACCUUUUUCAGAAAUUAUUACAAUAAAUGAUUUUAACUGUCUUAAAAAAUUUAUCUUAAAAGAUAGAUGAUUUAUUCUAUCUUAUGUAACAUAUAUAUAUUAAAACAAAACCGGUUUAAUAUUAUUGAACCAAGUAAUAAAAACAUAUAUAUAUAUACUCAUGAUUUGAGAGUUUUGAAGGGAUUUAAAUACCCCUCUAAUUUAGAAGGGAUUUGGGAUUUGAACAAAUUUUUAGAAAGGAAUUAGAAGAGAUUUCAGGAAAUUUGAGGAUUUUUAUUUUUGGUUUUCUUUAAGCAAUUGUUCUUUAAAGCUUUCACUACUUACAACUGUCGUUCACUAAACUUGGUAAUAAGUUUCAUUCAUAAGGUAAUAGAAUCAAACAGUUCUAUCCACACAGAACCAAAACACAAUACCAACCAAAAAAAGAGAGGAUAAAAUGUGAAAUCUUGAACAUCCAGACUUCUUGUAGAUCAGUUUGCAUUCAGGAGAGUUUCAACCUCUAGCAUUGUAGGAAGAGCUGGAAUUGCUCCUUUCUUGGUAGCUGUAAUGGCUCCACAUGCAUUAGCAAACCUAAUUCUAGAAGACGAGCUUCCUCCUCGAGAACAGAGCGGUCACCAACAAUGGUGCAAAGCAAGGCACCAACAUAUGAAUCACUAGUACUAGUUGUAUCCACAACGUUCACAUGGAAAGGAUCAACAUAUCCACGGAAGCUCUUGGUGUAAUAAUUACAACCCUUUUCACCUAAAGUGACCAAGAGAAGAUUUAAGUUAGAGUGCCACUGAGACAAAGCAGUCUCAUCAUCAACAUUAUCAGAUCUAGUUAAGAACAUAAGCUCUUCAUCGUUUACUUUGAUCACUUCAGCUUUUUUCCAGCUGCUAAGAAUCUGCUUUUUAGCCUCCUCCUUAGAGGGUGGGUAACCUCAAGUUGGGUCGUAAGAGAGAAACGCACCGGGUUCUUUAGCCACCUCCAUUGCCUUCAGGUGACGAGAUCUACAAGGGUUGGUUAUGUAGGCUAGAAUCGAAGAACAUUGUGGGAGGAAAAGAGAUUUAGUUUAGGGCUAUGAAAAAUGUAAUUAAGGCGUGAUUCCUUAAAAGUUAGUUAUGCAAUAAAGCCAAAAAAAACUUGAGAAUUUAAAAUUGCAAGAUGUCACUAAUUGUCAUAUAAGAAACUCAACUCAACUUUAUUAGCAUAGAUAGAUAGAUAGAUAGAUGGUCUAAUUGUAUAAUAAAUACAAAGAAAACAUAAUUGUAUAGAUAUAUAAAAAAAAUGGAUCAAAUAUAUAAAUUUAUUUAAAUCAAUACUAUAUGUUUUAAAUUUUAAUUUUAUAAAUUCACUCCUAGCAAAAUAUUAAUCUGCUUGUAGGUUCUUUGUACAACAAAUAAUGAUACGAGGCCCUUUGACGGGGCCCAUUGGGCUAUUACGAUCGAUGGAGGUUUUGGCAAUGGAUAUCGAAACACUCGUUAGGGUUUUUACAGAAGAAAAAAAGAAUGCACAGAUCUGACGGUUGAGAGUAUGCUUAUCUGAGAUCCAAGGGUUAGAAAACAGGCGAGGCACAGCGUAAUAGAUCUCUCUGCGAGGGGGGACGCAGUCACAAGAAGUAGAAAAAAAAAACCCUCUCUCUCUCAUUCAAAGGCUCUCAUCUAACCCUAAUUAUAGAGAGAGAAAGUCUCCAAUCCUCAUCGGUGGAACCAUGGACGAAGAAGGCGAGACCAUCUUAUUUUAUUCCGGUAAGAUCUCUUUCUUAACAGGAAUUUGUUUGUUAGAUUUCGAUCUGUAGUAAAUUCGUUUACGCCUUGUCCUUUUUUUUUGUGUGUGUGAAAGUGAAUGAUACAUUCGUUUGCUGGAACAUUGAUGAUUGCCCAGUCCCUGUGGAUACCGAUCUUGGUUCUAUUGUUAAUAAUUUCGAACAUGCUCUUCACCAAAUGGGCUUUGCGGGGAGAAUGAGCAUCAAUGUGGAUUGUAAGAAACUCAACUCCAACGAAGAAGCCUUGUUUAAGGCCGGAAGAAUUUUCUACUUACCCUAUGGUAAAUUCCUCAGUCGCUUCUAUUUAAUUAUAUGCCUGAGUUAUUAUUUAACUAAACUAAAAAAUGUUUGAUUUAUUAUGUAGGCGAAACAAUGUGCCGCAAUUUUGUUACUAGGCCUACUCUGGAUAUGACUUUUUAUAUGCUCUCUGUAUUACAAGAGACUGCACCAAUACUUGCAAAUUUAGCCGUAGUCGUCAAACCAAAUAUUGAUCCAGGUAGUGAGUUACAUAGGGUUCUGCACUGUUUGAAAUCGAGGGGUCACAAUGUUCUCCUAGUAGAGCUGCCACCUGAUGAAAAGUGUCUCUUUAGUGUUGACUCUCUACUUAAGAAUUCACGAUUUUUGGGUGGAGGAAAGCCUAGAGCCAAAAAAGAGUUAACUCCUGAAGAGAUGCGGGAGAUGCAGCGUCUGUAUGACUCGGAGGAGGAGGAGGAGGAGGAUGGUAGUUAUGAUGUUAGCGAUCUCUCCAACCAGAAAAUGUUAGAUUUCUCAGGUAAGACCCUCUCAAAUUGUUUGUUUGUUUUAGAUUUCAUCUGUCAUUUUUAAAAAUUAUAAAUGGUAUUUAGCCUCCCUCCCUCUUUUGCAUCGCUCAGAGCGUAUCAAACACGUCAAAGGGCCUAGGACAGUCAUCUUCUGGGACGCCAUUGAUUGCCCAUUCCCUCUUUGUUUCUCUCCUGAACAGAUCUUCCAGAAAAUCAAAUCAGUUCUUAUGAAAAAAGGUACGAAUGAUAAUAUUACAAUCUGGGCUUAUGUCGAUGAACGGUCUUGGAGGGAUAAGUGUCUGGGUAACAAGACUUGGGAUUCAAGAAUCUACUUUCUUCCCGCAGGUGAAUUCCAACCUUUUUCUUUGUGUGUAUGUAAUCUAUAUAUGUUGAUGUUUUUUCUCAUUUUUUUUUAUCCAGGGGAUAGACGUGUCAGAAUGUUAAACGACAUGUAUCUACAGUGUAGAGACGCUCCUCUGCACCAUUGUCCAGGACUUUUGAUCCUAGUCUCGAAUCAUUUCUCAGGUGACCCCUUCUACAUGGAGUUGUUUCAGGACAUGGAGCACCAAAAUUACCAUCCUUUCUUGAUAAUUCCGAGGGAGCACAGCAACAUAUCAGAAAGCCCUGAUGAAUGGCCACAGUCUCUAUUUAAUAGACCUCGCAAAAGCUCACAAGGACCUCUUCCCAAAAAGCCUAAACUGGAUGCUGCUUAAAGUAGCACAUGCCCAGGGCUGAUGAUACUCUGGUUAUUAUGAUGUUGGAUCUUGCUUGCUUCACAAGAUCUAUUGUUGCAUCCUGAUAUUUAUAUCAAAAACUCUUGUUCUUAUUUUGGGUUUACGCUUUUGUUUAUUUUAAACUGCAAACUCUGUUGUGACAAAUUUUAU